rnacentral:lncRNA from 1 species
AAGCGGAUGCUGUCACGUAGAUCCCCGUCCAGUUACAUAGGCUCUGGUCUUUCCAGGUGCAGGACGAGGUACAGGCCAUUGGAGGUUCGCAAAAACUAGAGCACAAAGAGUUGAUGAGGCCGCUGAUAUACAUUUUUCCUUCGUGUACAAGAUUUGAUCGGGAACAACAACAUACAAACGUCGAUUAGCAGGCAAUAACACACAACUGUGCACGCUCCUGAUAUUCAGAGAGAUUCUAUUUUUACACUUCGGGAGUACAUAUGAAAAACACAUAUCUACUGUUGUUCAGACGUAGUUGAAACUGCAGCAUAAUCAUAUUUGACAUCUACAGUGUUGCUAUCUUGGGAACCGUGUUCUCUCCAACUGAUCUUCCACAUCUGGAGUAAGCUUACCCUGCAUGACAGAGGAAAAAUAUUACUCACAUGAUGAAUCUGGUGAUUUCUCAUUCUGUUAUCAUUCUAGUAAUCAAAUUGAACAAAGAUCAACCUCAUAAAGAGCGAAGACAUCACAAUUUUAGCAUCAGUGGAAUGAAAGUCCAUGAUAGUGUAGCAUAAAUUUUGGUGUAUUUGUAUUGCUCAAAGCAGAACAAGCAACUUACGACUGGAAACAGUUUGGCCUGUAUAAUUGUGAUUUUUAAUACAACUGUAUGUAUAAUCAUAUUUGAUCGCUUGACCGUCCUACACGACCUCAUUUUGCCGAGCGUGUGUGGCCAGAGAGCCUAUCGCCGACGCUUUCUGGGUCGUGUGGGAAGGACCCUUCUAUCGCCCACACUCACUUGGCGACGGUUCCAAAUGCCGUUAAUGAAGAGGCUUGGUAUCAUUAUGUUAAUUUGAGCUCAAAUUCAAUAUAAAUCAAAUAAAUUCUCACACAAUUACUCCCAAACUAAACCCACAAAUCACUAUACUUAUAGAGCAUUGCACGUGUUAAUCUAGCAAUUAGAGAUGAAAGGACAAAAUUGCUAACCUUUGUGAACACUUGGAUAGUUGGGGUGCCUCAAAUCUUGACAAAUCUUGGCAAAAAAUGAAGGAUGAGCUUGAGCUAAGGGGAAGAACAGAGAGGGAAAAGGAGAAAACAGAGAGGAUGAGCUCGGGACGAACUGGGGUUUAUAUAGGAAUAACUUUAGUCCCGGUUGGUAAUACAAACUGAGACUAAAGGUCAAGCUAUAGUUCCGGUUGGUGAUACAAACCGGUACUAAAGGGGCUCGUGGGGGGCCAGCCUGACGCCAUCACCAACCGGGAUUAUAGGUCAAAAAUGAACCGGGACUAAUGAUGCCCAUGCCCCCUUCCGCUCCUAGCCGUUGGAACCGGGACUAAUGGUCACAUUAGUCCCGGGCCUAGAUCGGGACUAAUGCUUCGGACGAAAGGUCUGUUUUCUACUAAUGUUCACCCACUCAACAAAGGGCCUUUUCAUAUGCAAUGUGUCAUUGUAUGGUGGUGAAAAAACAUCCGCUUCCAUAUAUCAGUGGUGAUUCCCCAAUUUGUGUCGGUUGCUGCCGACGUCGAGCUUGGAUGCGCAUGCACUGUCUCUGCUUCUUGUGAUGCUUUUGCUACUGCCCUUCUACCUCCACUUCAUAUUGAUGUGUCAUAACCGUAGACUGCAUUUGCGUUGCACCUAAUGAACUGGACAAAUACAGGGGGAAACUCGAUUGAAAGUUGACAACAACAAUGGUUAAUGUUCUGGCCCUAUAAAUUCCAAAAAUUUGUCUAAACCAUAUUUGAUGAAAGCCAUUUCUCUUAUUCUUCCUGGGAAAAUUUCAAUGCUCUCCAUAAGGGUCAAAAUGAUGAAGCACGCACGCUCCUCAUGAGGAGAUACAUAGCCUGCCGAGUCGUGACUCGGAGUAUACUCCGCGACAUCUUGGCAGCAGCAGCGAAAGCCAUUGUGGUUGGCUCUAAUACCAACUGUUUUGAACCUUGAUCCACCAGAAAAUGCAUGGCCGCAAAGGAUUGCGUAUACAUAGGUUUAGAUGCGAGGACAACUUGGUGAAACAUAUUGAUUGUUCUUGCCUCCUCAAACAUGGGCGCAUGCCAUCCUUAUAUAACGGAUGCUUGGGCCCUUGAGGCCUUGACCUUUCAUAUUCUCCUAAUAUGAUUAGACUUCCUUAUACAAAUGCAGUCUUUCCUAAUCUUACAAUUUCCUAGUGGACUCUUAGGAUACUUCUUUCUCAUUGACUCCUUGUCAGGUCCUAGCAGAAAAGGAAUCUCAACAUAUAUCCCUCAGUUGUCCAUCAGAGAAACAGAAGUGAAGGGUACAUUCACUUAUCCAACGUUGCACGUGUGAUUGAGAAAUACAAUGGCUGUUGUUACGUGGCUUAUUGUUGUAAUUGCAGUUUACUGUAAUUUAGUUUAACCAGGUGCUUUGCUUAGGCCAUUUACCACAUGUUUUACUCUCGGUAAUCACCAAACCGAUCUGGCUAUGUUUACCGUUCCCAUCUGAGUAAAGUGUAAGAAAGAAUUCGACAAAACAUAGUUCCUUAGAUUAGCUAGAAGUAAAAGUGAUCAUCUUCACAACCAUCCCGCAUUUUAUCCUGUAAUCCGACAAAUCCCUCGUUCGGUUUUUCGAUGAAUUCCUUCUAAUUAUUUUGGUCCUGGCACUCCUCCCAUGCUAGAUCAACAGGCGAUCCCUCUAUUGGAGCACAAAUUUGGUGAAGCAAAAUAUGCUUUUUGUAUUUGGUUUACUCUAAUAUCUCAGAAACAAAAGCGUCGAGUAUGGACCGCUUCACCCAGCCAACACCAUGUAUGCAUUGUGUGGUAGUGGGAAAACUGCCGCUUUCAUAUAUAUAGUCUCGAUUCCCUGCUACCAAAGAAAUCAUCAGGUCAUCAUAUUGUCAUGAUCAUUUGAAUUACUAUGGCAUGGCAGAUCAUCAUGCUUAUUGUGUUUCUCAAAAGUGCGAUUUUUACUGCUGGAAUCAGCCAUACACCUCUAUCGAAAAGAAAAGAUGGGAACCUGAAAUAAAAAUAUAUAGUUCCCAAUCCAUGACAACAAUUGCAUGAUAAAACAGGGGAAAUCUGGGUCCAGAGCUCCCACCUCUAACUCUAUCCCAAAUCGAUGAUGCAUUAACCCAUCUUCAUUCUGUGCUGAAAACCUGAACUCUUUUUCUUUUCUCAUUUGAAAGAGUAAUAAGAAAGCUGAACUCAGUCUAUCACUUAGUGACUUAGACAGGCAAGCUGAUAUAUGAUUUUGCACACAUGGAAGUCAUCGAGUGCAUAGCAUGCAGCUUAAUGGAUUCCCAAGAGCAGCAACAAUUGAUGCAGAGCAGUGACAGUAAAUCCCCGUCGAGUUACAUAGGCUCUAGUCUUUCCAAGCGCGGGACGAGUUAUAGACCAUUGGUUGUUUAGGAAAAACUAGACCAGAGAGUUGAUGAGGCCGCCGAUAUACAUGUUCCCUUCGUGUACAAUAUUUGAUCAGGAACAACCGCAUACAAACGCCAAUUAGCAGGCUAUAACACACAACCGUGCACGCUGGGGCUCUUGAUAUUCAGAUCGACCCUAUUUUUGCACUUUGCAAUUACACACGAAAAACAAAUAUCUAAAAUUGUUCAGACGUAGUUGAAACUGCAGCAUAAUCAUAUUUGACGUCUACAGUGUUGCUAUCUUGGGAACCACGUUCUCUCCAACUGAUCUUCCACAUCUGGAGUAAGCUUACCCUGCAUGAUAGAGGAAAAAUAUUUUAGUCACAUGGAUACAUAGAUGCAAUGCCUAUUCGAUGUGAUGUUGUUGUCAAAACUACGUACACAUGAUGAAUGAGAACAUUGAUUUUUGGAAGGGAACCAGGGUAGCAUUAGGAAGAAUCUGAAUUUGCACGUCGUUUGUCCAGCCUUCUGUUCCGUGGUAUUGCAGUUUGUACUCGCUAGAAUCGCCCCUUCACCUCUGUAGAAAAGGAAACAUAGAACUCUUAAAUCUGAAUGCGAAAAAUGCAAAGAGAGCCUUGGCUCAGUGGUGUUGGGCAUGCGGUUGUGCAGCCUAGCGACCCGAGUUCAAUUCCUAGAAUUGACAGGCGAUGCACAGGGGUUUUCCCCCGUUUAUUGAGGAUCAAGCUUGAUGUGUGGUGGAACCUCUCAUCAAGAAAUAUCUUGAUACUCAUACUAAAAUUGCCGUAUGCAUCCCUGGUUGGUGCAGAGGCCGGGGAAGUAAAAUUCUCCCCCGUUUUAAAAGACACAUCAAUCUAUCUCUGGUUAGGAGCCCCGAGGCUUUCUUAUCCUAUCUUCCCUGACCUCUCUCCCCCGAGGCGGCGCCACGCCGCCCCCGGGGAGUCCCCGUCCACACCGCCCUCAGCCCUCCCCCUCCAUCGCCUCCCACUACCGCCGCCGUCGCUGAGGACGCCGCGGGGCGAAGCCCCUAUGGUGAGGCGGCGGCGGCGGCUUAGUCCUCAGUAACGCGUGGGGGCAGCGGCGUCCAUCUCCCUCCUCCUCCAACGGCAGCGCGCAGCGGGUUGGCGGUGGCCAGGAGAUCUCCGGCAGGCGUUUGGCAGAUGAGAUUUUGGCUGCGAUGAGAUCUGAUCUAAGCCCGAGGGGUUUAGAUCGAGAUCCACUACGGCUGCGCCUCGUCUCGACAACGGCAAGAGGAGAUCCCCCAUGGGUAAUCUUCGCGGCACGAGGACAUCCGGGUCUCUUGGCCCGGGCAUGGUGGUGGUGGCUGCCUUCUCCAUCGAAGGCGGUAGGCCAGGUUGGUAGUGACGGAUCUUGGAUCCCAGUAUUAGCACCGGCGGCGAGUUGGGGAGACAUAGUCGUCGGUGAAAACCGAGCCGACUACGGUCAUGGCGGGCGAUGGCAGCGUCUACGUCAUUACCUUGAUGAAGGCAUCGUGAAGCAACUAUCGUCAUCCUGCUCGUGCCGCUCCAAGAGAAAUCCUAAGAUCACCGGAUCGGACGAUAGCGGCGCUGCGGUGUCGUGUUCCCUAUUGGGGGCAUUGUUUGUGGAGCGGCGCUGGAUGGAAGAGGCGUGAGGUGGUGUGGCGUGCCUUCUCUCGCGUCGACGACGGCGGGUCUCGGCGGCAUGGAGCAGUGGGCUCUCGCCGGUGGGCAUGUGAUGAUGGACGAGCGCAGGAUGAUGGUGUUGUCUGGCGUCGUGGUGGCGUCGACGACAGCUAGACCGGGCAAGGUAGAUGCAACAGUACAUCACUGAAGAUGGAUUUGUGGCAGGUGGCUGCGUCGGCCUCAUACCCGGCAGGCGUCCUGGUUGAGGAGUGCGCCGGACUCGUGGGUACCCCAUACCCGGCAGGCGUCCUGAUUGGGACCUCAGGUCUUAGAUGUUAGGUUUGGCUGCGAGGUCUGUUUGGUAUUAGGCCCAGACUAUCAGCAUCCCUACAUCAACUGGAUAGGAGUAGCGACAGAUAUUGCCUAGACGGUAGCUUUAGUCUUACUGUUGUACGACUUUUUAAGGUCUUAUGUGAAUAAUUAAUAAAGUGGCUGCUUGCAUCGUCCAGAUGCAGAGGCCGGGGGUCAUCCUCCUUUUCUAAAAAAAAAGAGCUCCCAUAUUAAAUCAUGGGUAUGUACCUGUAUCUCAAAUCGAUGACGCAUUAAUCCAUCUAGUGCAGCUAUUUCUCGGUGAAUUUGUUUAGUUGUGUUUUGCUCCAGAACUCUGAUAGCUAUUGUGGUUUUAGCUUUAGGAGGCACCCUUUCUUAGGUUUUGUUUAUUUUGCUGCAGAUAGAUACUAGACCUUGCUCGUUACCGCUGAGAUAGCUGAACCCCGCAGUUUUUUGGCAUAUUAAAUAUACGAAAAUAUUAUACCGCGUACAUUAUUGUUUGUCUAUUUUUGGCGGUGGCAUACAUUUUUGUUAAUAGAUGACAUUGAUUUGCAACUAGGCACAUACAACACCAGACCUGCGAAGCGACCAUGCAUGCGCGUCGUCGGUGUUGCUCCUAGUUGUGCCUCUGCUGUUGUUGUGCGUGGUUGUGCAACCACCGCUGGUUGUUGCGCCGGGUUGCUUUGUCGUCGAUCCUCCGCCGUCGAGCUUGGCUGCCUCUGCUUCUUCUCGUACUUCUGCUACUGCUUCCUGUUCUGGUGCCUUUUCCACUACUGCAUAUUGUUGUGUCGGUCAUCGUGGACUGCACUUGCACGGUUGCACCUAAUGAACUGGACAAUAAUAGAAGUAACUCAAUUCUCUCGCCAAAAAAAAAAACUCGAUUGAAAGCUGACAACAACCAUGGUACAUGUUCCAGCCCUCUAAACUGCCAAAAGCUCGUCUAAACAAAAUCUGAUGAAGGCCAGGACCAUUAAUCUUCCUGGGAAAAUUUCAAGGUUCUCCAUGAGGAUAAAAAAUGAUGAAGCAUGUUCGAUGUUCCCCGUGAUGGGAUAUAUAGACUGAUGAGUCGCGAGUCGUGACAAGGAGUAUCCUCCGUGAUAUCUUGUCAGCAGCAGCGAAAGCCAUGGUGAUUGGCUCUAAUACUAACUAUUGUGAACCUUGAUCCAACAAAAUGCAUGGCCGCGAGAGAUUGUGCAGACACAGGUUUAAAUGCGAGAACAACGUGGGAAAACGAAAUGCAUGGCCACAUGCCAUCCUUAUAUAAAGGAUGCUUAGGCCCUUGAGGCCUUCGCCUUUCCCAUUCUCCUAAUACGAUUGGAGUCUUUCUAAUCAUACAAUUUCCUAAUGGACUCUUAGGAUACUUCUUUCUCAUGGACUCUUUGUCAGGUCCAGAGAAAUCUCAAUAUAUAUCCCUUAGUUAUCCAUCAGAGCAACACAAGUGAAGGCCACAGUCGGUUAUCCAACGAUGCACGUGUGAUAGCGAGAUCCAAUGGUUAUUGUUACUUGCCUUAUUGCUUUAGUUACUCUUUACUGUAAUUUAGUUCAACCAGGGGGCUUUGCUUGGGCCAUUUACCUCAUGUUUUACUCUGGGUAAUCAUUGAACCGACCCGGCUAUAUAUGUCAUACCCAUCGUGAAUAAAGGGUAAGAAAGAAUUUGCCAGAAAAUACUUCCUUAGAUUAAUUAGAAGUAGAGGCGAUUAUCUUCUCGAGUAUCCCGCAUUUUACACCAAAAUCUGACAAAUCCCUCGUCGGUUUUUGGGUCAAUUCCUUUCAAUUGUGCCGGUCCUAGCACUCCUCCCAUGCUGGUUCAACGGGGGCUCCCUCUAUGGGCUCUCCUCCCAUGCUGGUUCAACGGGAGCGGGUCCCUCUAUUGGCUAACAAAUCGGGUGAAGCAAAAUAUGCUUUCUCUAUUGGUUUACUCUAAUAUCUCGGAAACAAAAGCGUGGAGUACUGACCAUUUCGCCCAGCCAACACCAUGUAUGCAUUGUGUGGUGGUGGGAAAACUGCCGCUUGCAUAUAUAUAGUCUCAAUUCCCAUUCUACCGAAGAGGUCAUCAGGUCAUCAUAUUGCCAUGAUCAUUUGCAUUACUAUGGCAUGGCGGAUCAUCAUGCUUAUUGUGUUUCGCAAAAUUUCCAUUUUUACUGCUAGAAUCAGCCGUACACUUUUAUCGGAAAGAAAACAUGGGAACCUGAAAUCAGAAUCUAGAGUUCUCAAUCCAUGGCAACAGUUGCAUGAUAAAACAGGGGAAAUCUGGGUCCAGAGCUCCCACCUCUAAAUCGCAGUUAUGUUCCCCCGUAUCCCAAAUCAAUGAUCCAUUAACCCCUCCUCGUGCUGUCCUGAAAACCUUAACUUUGUUCAAUUUUGAAAGAGUUAUAAACCUGAACUCAACCCAUCACUUAGACAAGUCGGACAAUAAAUUAUCUUGCACAUACGUAAGUAACAAGCAAGCCAAUGAAUUAUCUUGCACAUAUGGAAGUUGUCGACUGCAUAGCACGCAGCUUAAUGGACUCUGAAGAGCAGUAACAACUGAAGCGGAUGCAGUCACGUAGAACCCCGUCCAGUUACAGGACGAGGUAUAGGCCAUUGGAAGUUCGCAAAAACUAGAGCACAAAGAGUUGAUGAGGCCACUGAUAUACAUUUUUCCUCCCUGUACAAGAUUCGAUCAGGAACAACCACAUACGAACGUCGAUUAGCAGGCAAUAAUACACAACCAUGGAAGCUGGGGUUCCUGAUAUUCAGAUUGAUGCUAUUUUUACACUUCGGGAGUAUACAUGAAAAACACAUUAACACAUAUCUACUGUUCUUUAGACGUAGUUGAAACUGCAGCAUAAUCAUAUUUGACAUCUACAGUGUUGCUAUCUUUGGAACUGCGUUCUCUCCAACUGAUCUUCCACAUCUGGAGUAAGCUUACCCUGCAUGACAGAGGAAAAAACAUUAGUCACAUGGAUACAUGGAUGCAAGGCCCAUUCAAUGUGGUGAGGUGGUCAAAACUGCAAACAUUGAUUUCUGGAAGCAAACCAGAGUAGUAUUAGUUUGAAUAAGCAGAAGCACAUCAUGAAAAGUUUCCUAAGAACUACCCGUGCAUGUUUUGGUUCAUGUUAAAAAUACCAAAAAAAUAACUGCAGAUAUCUUAUUCUGAUAUCAUUCUAGUAACCAAAGUGAACAAAAACCAACCUCAUAAAGAGCGAAAACAUCAAUUUUUUGGUAAAUCAGUGGAAUGGCAAUAUUAUUGAUAUUUGGUAACACUUGGUGUAUUUGUAUGCUCAAGUAGAGCGAGCAAUACCAACAUCGGAUUAAAGUGAUUCAAUAGAACUAAAACUAUACAAAAAUAGACUCAAAAGUGAUGCAUUGAGUAAGCUGAUGUAUACAUGUCAGGUUCAAUUGUCCUCUUUGCCAACAUAAGAGUCAAGAAAACAGGUAUCAUCGCAGCACAUAGAUGUUUAAAAGUAUGUCCUCUAACAAUGUCAUGUGUCCACCUAUAUAUAGGUUUGUCUGCACCCACUUCUACUUUGGCAACAAGGUAAAAUCCUGAAAUCAAUUUGAAAAAUCAGAACAGAAGUAUCUCUGCGCUUAGAAAACCCUAAAAAACAAUGUGCUUAGAAUAAAUGCUUGCGGUGGCCUAUGAUUAAAUUGUGCUUAAAUAAAUGCUUCUGCAUAACUCAUUCUUGUAGCAACAUCAUCAAAGGCCAACAACUGGAAAACAGCAAUUCAUGCACAUUUAUAUUAGUUGGACUGUUAACUGAUUUAUAAAUUUCUAGGUAACAGCAGACGUUACUGGGGAAACAGAAUCAUCUUGGCACCGUUCAAUGGUAUUAAGGGAGUAAGAACUUAAGAAGGGGAACAUUACAACUUCUAGUGAGUUUUCUAUGAAUUUUCAAGGUAACUGUGGUUUAUAACCAAGCAUCAUGAGUACAGACUGCAAGAAGAAAAAGGUAUCACCAGUUCUUAUGCUUUGAGAAAAUUGACUAUGAAAUAACCCAGUACAUUUACGUGAAUCACAUAUAGCUAUGUACACAAAUAAUGGAACUGCAUACAACCUGGUGAUAUUGAGCGGCAAUAACACUAACCUGCUGCCGACAACCAGUAGCUUGAAUGUGUAUACACUGGUGGAAUAACUAUAGUCAUCACAGGUAUUACAAUGCAUGGAACAAACUGGAUUACCGCAUAUGGCCGAAGGUCAUCAAAGAAACUACACAACAGAGUAGACAGUUAAGUUCAAGGAAGCAAAUAUUACUGACAGAAGGAUAGAUAAACAAUCGAAAGAUCUUGCCUCCAGUACAGGAUGCUUAGUGCACCAGCAAUGACAAGGGGUGAAAGGGACUUUGUUCCGGCCCCAUCAUCAACCCUUUCUAUGAUGAAAAUGGCCGUGAUAGACGUGAAAGCAAUCGUCAUCUAGACAAAAGAAGCCUAUAUGUCAGCGCUCGAAAUAUUUAAAAUCAAGAAAGAAGGAGCAACUCCUAGGGUCUGGGGACUAUACACUGUACAAUAUACUACUAGUGGUGAGUGAGAAUGGCUCCCACGCUCCUGCGACGCCCAGCUCCGGUGCCCGCAGCCACCAUGGCCCCGCCCAACCCCCUCCCUCCCCGCGAAGCACCUCCUCGAUCUCGCCACGGUUCCCUCCGGGAUUCCCUUCUCGUCGGUUCUCGCGGCCAGAUCUGGUGGCGGCCCUCUUCCUGCAGCUGGAGGGGAGUUCCUCUGUGCAUCCGGGAUGGUGCUCCUCUGCCGGCGUGCAGCGCGGCUGCCUCGAAUGAUGGUGCUCUUUUGCCAGCGUGCUGCGCGGUUAUCUCGGACGCGACGAGCCGUCCCCGCAAGGUGCACUUCGCUGCUCAUGAUGCGCUGCUAGAUACUGUUUUAAAUAGCCCGCUCGUUUACAAAAAGUCUUGCGCUAAGAGACUUUGGUCCAAAUAAAUGAAUAAACAUUUUAAAUAACGCGCUAUAGCUCCGCUAUAGCAUGCUAUAGCAUUUAGAAGAGGUCUGCCGUUAAGAUGCUUAGCGCGCUAUUUAAAAGUACGUAGAUUCCACCCCCAGCUCCCCGUCCAUGGCGUCCUCCGGCCAUGCAUCAAAUCGGCGCCUGCUGCCUGUCGUCGUGCAGCGCCGGGCGCUUCCUCGAGCCCUGCGAAUCCUGCCGCAGUCUCAAGGCGGAGCUCUUCGUCAAGCCAUGCUCCUCCUACUGCGGAAUCUAAAUCGUGCUUCGAGGCUGACUUCGGCCGGUCGGCGGACUGGCAACUUGUUCGGCCGACAUAUUGGUGGCGGCGCCCCAACCGCCGGCGCCCAAGCCGUCGAGCUGCGUGUGAUUUUCCUCCUCCUGCGCGAAGGGAUUUCGUCAAGUUCAGUGACAGAGAAUGCCAUCGCUGCCUCCUCAAAGGACACUGCAAGGUUGACUGUCGAAAUCCGUUCACCUGCCUCAGAUGCCGGCAGAUUGGUCACCGCGCUUGGAACUGCACCAACCCCCUGACGCCGGCUUCUCCUCCAACAUUGUCAUCUGCAGCUGUCGUGCGGCAUCCUCGUGCUCCUCCGUCCCAACCUGCUGCUCCACCUACGGUGUGAGGGUGCAUCAGCGACCAGUCAGUGCGCCCUGCUGCCCAGCCGCGCUCGCAGUCUGUCGCCUGGGGGCUGGUGGGCGGCGAGCCUCGCCAUCGCGACGACGACAACGAACGCCGUAGAGAUGAUGACCGUGACAGUGAAGACCGGUUCAGAGACAAGCGAUCUGCGGGUCGUCUUUCAUGUUGGGGCUCCGUCGCUGCUGCCACCACCACCAUGGACUCUCGCGGGCGCUCACCUCCAGCGUCGCCGUGCACCACCUCUCAGGACAUCGUCCAGAUCGAGACUUCUUGCUCUGCAAUGAUCUCGCCUCCGCCGUCGCCGCGCACCACCACUAGUGCAGAACCGGGAUAUAGCACCGGUUCGUAAGAGCCUUUAGAACCGGCACUAAAGGGAGGGGACUAAAGGUCCCCCUCUUUAGUACCAGCUCUGCACGAACCGCCGCUAAAGGGCCACCAUGUGGAACGAGCCAGUGCCGGGGGCGGGGGCACUUUAGUUUUGGGGGUUUUUGGAUUCAUGAUUUCUUUUUCUUUAAUUUUGGGGUAUUUUACGAUACUACAUAUUAUACACGUUAUGAAUAUAUAUAAAUAGAAUUUCUCGUAGAACCGAUCAUAUAUAAAUAGAAUUUCUCGUAGAGCCGAUCAUCGAAUGUCUCACAACCACCAUUAUGCACACAUACACAUGUAUAUAUAUAUAUACAAUUAGGUAUAUAUAUAAUUUCUCCUACAUGUUGCCUUGGUGCCUUCGGAGCACGAUGAAAAUUGGGAGUGGUUCAUGGGGCGGUAGCGGGUAAUGGUAUUCUCCUUUGGGAUCUAUGACCUGGUCAAGCAAAAAUCCCGCUAUCCCAGUGCCAGCCCGGCGGAGCCCAGUCGCGGACAUGGGUCCUCUGAAGCAGGACGUCGUCGUGAACGGGUCGAUGGCGAGGAUGUGGGCCAGACAUCGGCGAAAACAAAUACUAUAUCCAAACAUAACAUUUUUUAAAUGAUUGAAUUGUGAUUUCUUAACUAAAAUUAGAAGAAACUAAUAAAAACAUCGAUCAUCGUCUAACAAUUUGAAAUUAAUAUAAUUCAUCUAGGUAAAACUAACAUUUCUAAAAUUUCUAACAUUUCUAUAUAACUAACAUUUCUAUAACAUUUUUAACAUUUCUAUAACAUUAUUAUAUCUAAAACCUUUGACAUUAUACUAUUUGACAGAAAACCUUUGUAUAAAAAAUAGAAAAAACCUUUGUCAUUAUAUUAUAACUAACAUUUCUGUAUAUACUAUUUGACAUUAAUCUAAUCUAAUUAAUUAAUUCAGCUAAAACUUUGUAUGAAAAACAGAAAAAACAGAAUAAACUAAAAACAGAAAAAUUGUGUGUGUGUGCGCGCGUGUAGUGUGUAGUGUGUGUGCGCGCGCGCGCGUGUGCACCUAGCUACGGCGACGGCGGCGCGGUGGCUUAGAUUGGAGGGAGGAGAGGGGCCGGGGGAGAGGGGCUCACAGCGCGCGCGGGCGAGGUCGAGGCGACGGCGACGGCAAGGCGAGGUCCAAGGCGACGACAACGGCGAGGCGAGGGGACGGCGACGGGCCGGCGCGGCGACGGGGACGGGCCGAAGUCGACGGGGACGACGCGACGAGGACGGGGGCGGCGCGGAGUCGACGGGGACAGCGCGACAGGGGCGGUGACGGCACGGGACGGGGCGGCGGCAGAGAGAGGUGGGAGAUGAGAAACUAAUUUUUUUGAAGUGUUUCUUAUAUAGGAGGCACCUUUAAUACCGGUUGGAGCCACCAAUCGGUACUAAAGGCCUGUUUUGGCCAGGCCAAGCGGCGGGAAGGGCAGGCCUUUAAUACCGGGUGGUGGCUCCAACCGGUACUAAUGAGCCCCUCUUUAGUACCGGUUGGUGCCAUGACCCGGCACUAAAGGGGGUGCGCUGCCAGGCGAGGGCCGCAGAAGUUUAGUCCCACCUCGCUAGCCGAGAGGCGCUCGGACCUGCUUAUAAGCCCCGCCGCCGCUGCUGUCUCGAGCUCCUCUCUAAAGCAGGCCGUCUGGGCCUACCUCUGCUACGAUGCCCAGUUGGGCCUACUGGGCGAGCAGGCCUGCAUCCUGGCCCAACUAGAAUUUGGGUUUCUAGUCGUAUGCAGGCCACUGUGGCCCAGUAGGCGGGCUUUCUUCAUUUAGUUUUUUUCUUGUUUUUUUCUUUUCUGCUUUAUUUAUUUUCUUUUAUUUAUUUUUUAGUUGUUUUUUGCUGUAUUUAGAGUUUGUUUGUGAAUAUUUUUGCUUUAGGUACAAAAAAUUACAGACUUUCUGUUAGUGCCGGUAGUUUUUAAAUUGGAAUAGUUUAAAUUUUGAAUUAUUCGAAAUUUGUGUGAAUUACUAGUUUGUGAAUAACUUAACUUUAAAAAUAGAUUUUCCAGUGAUUCUUUUUUCUUAUGUUUAAUAUUAGUGUGUUUUAUCAUUAUAUUCAAUUUGGUAAUACUUAGGUUAUUUAAAAAAUGAAAUGCCUUUGUAACAGAUGAGUUUUCGUCCGAAACCCUGAUACUUCGAAAGAGAUUGUCCAUUUUAUACAUGAAGUGCAUCCAGUUUUUGCCGUAACCCUCUCUACUUUUUUGCAUAUGCUAUGUGGUUGAAAUUAUGAUACCAUGCGAACUUUCAACCUUUUCGGAGUUCAUUUGAAAUAAUUUGUAAAUGCAUGAAAGAAUUUGUAAAUGCAUGAAAGAAUUUGUAAAUGCAUGAAAGAAUUAUGUGUUUUUCAAUUUCAGGGUCAUUUAGCUGAAAAAAAUCAGUAAAUGCAUUAAAAAAUUUGUUUGCACAUAAAAUUUCUUCUCGUUUCAAGUGCCAAAACACAUAACUACCCUAACUAUUACAGAGAUUCCCUCCUGGGUGUGAAACACAGAAGAAAGUGAUGAUAAUGAAGCCGAUCACAUCCCAGAUCUUUAGGUGUGAAACUUUUUUCGCGUGUGUCCCUUUGCGCCGUAACCAUGGAAAAAUCUUCAUCAUUUAACUGGAUGCUCGGGUCAAUAUUCACUGUGAAUGGAGCAAUUUCAACAAACUUUUCAUAAUCUUCUGACAUGUCUGUCUUGUCAUCCACUCCCACGAUGUUUCUCUUCCCAGAAAGAACUAUGUGGCGCUUUGCCUCAUCAUAUGAUGCAUUCAAUUCCUUAUCUUUUCUUUUUCUCGGCUUGGUAGACAUGUCCUUCACAUAGAAAACCUAUGCCACAUCAUUGGCUAGGACGAAUGUUUCGUCUGCAUACGCAAGAUUGUUGAGAUCCACUGUUGUCAUUCAAUACUGCAGGUCUUCCGUUACCCCGCCUCGUGUCAUAUUGACCCAUUUGCACCGAAACAAAGGGACCUUCAAAGCACGUCCAUAGUCAAGUUCCCAUAUGUCCUCUAUGUAACCAUAAUAUGUUUCCUUUCCCGUGUUGGUUGCUGCAUCAAAGCGGACACCACUGUUUUGGUUGGUGCUCUUCUUAUCUUGUGCGAUCGUGUAAAAUAUAUUCCCAUUUAUCUCGUACCCUUUGAAAGUCAUUAUAUUCGAAGAUGGUAACUGGGACAACAAGUACAUGUCAUCUUCAAUAGCGGCAUCAUGCAUGGCACGUGUCUGCAACCAGCCGGCGAUAGUCCCCGUUUGUUCACGUGUAAUCCAGUCAUCAGACCUCUCCGGGUGUUUCGAGCGUAGAAAAUUCUUGUGUUCGUCCAUAUACGGAGCCACCAAGGUGAAAUUCUGUAGACCUGUGUAGUGUUCUUGAGUGAGAGAAUGUUCGUCCAUACAUAUUAUCUGAUCCCCUCCUAGCGUGCCUUUUCCAUCCAGUCUGCCCUUAUGCCGCGAUUCAGGAACACCAGUCGGCUUAAGGUCAGGAAUAAAGUCAAUAGAAAACUCGAUGACCUCCUCAUUUUCAUGGCCCUUGGAGAUGCUUCCUUCUAGCUUAGCACGGUUAUGAACAUAUUUAUUUAAGACUCCCAUGAACCUCUCAAAGGGGAACAUAUUGUGUAGAAAUAUAGGACCCAAAACGUUAAUCUCUUCGCAUAGGUGAACUAGGACAUGCGUCAUGAUGUUGAAGAAGGAUGGUGGGAACACCAACUCGAAACUAACAAGACAUUGCACCAAAUCAUUCUCUAACCUUGGUAUGCUUUCUGGAUCGAUUACCUUCUGAGAGAUUGCAUUGAGGAAUGCACAUAGCUUCACAAUGGCUAAUCGAACGUUUUCCGGUAGAAGCCCCCUCAAUGCAACCGGAAGCAGUUGCGUCAUAAUCACGUGGCAGUCAUGAGACUUUAAGUUCUGGAACUUUUUCUCUGCCAUAUUUAUUAUUCCCUUUAUAUUCGACAAGAAGCCAGACGGUACCUUAAUACUGAGCAGACAAUCAAAGAAGAUUUCCUUCUCUUCUUUGGUAAGAGCAUAGUUGGCAUGACCCUGAUGUAUGGCGUCUUUUCCGUGCAUACAUUGUUGGUCCUCCUGUGCUUCCGGUGUAUCUUUUGUCUUUUCAUACACGCCCAAGAAGCCAAGCAGGAUCACGCAAAGAUUCUUCGUCACGUGCAUCACGUCGAUUGCGGAGCGGACCUCUUGGUCUUUCCAAUAGGGCAGGUCCCAAAAUAUAGAUUUUCUUCUUCCACAUGGGUGCGCGUCCGUCAGCGUCAUUCGGAACAGGUUGUCCGCCAGGACCCUUUCCAAAGACUACCUUCAAAUCCUUGACCAUAUCAUGUACAUCAGCACCAGUACGGUGGCGAGGCUUUGUUUGGUGAUCCGCCUCACCUUUGAAAUGCUUGUCUUUCUUUCUUACGGGAUGCCUGCUCCGAAGAAAUCGACGAUGUUCCAAGUACACAUUCUUCCUACAAUUAUCCAAAUAUAUCCUGUCGGUAUCAUCCAAACAGUGCGUGCAUGCGCGGUAUCCCUUGUUUGUCUGUCCUGAAAGGUUACUGAGAGCAGGCUAAUCAUUGAUGGUCAUGAACAGCAACGCCUUUAGGUCAAAUUCUUCCUGUCCGUGCUCAUCCCACGCACGUAUACCUGUUCCAUUCCACAGCUCUAAGAGUUCUUCAAGUAAUGGCCUUAGGUACACAUCAAUGUCAUUGCUGGGUUGCUUAGGGCCUUGGAUGAGCACUGACAUCAUAAUGAACUUCCGCUUCAUGCACAACCAAGGAGGAAGGUUAUACAUACAUAGAGUCACAAGCCAUGUGCUAUGGUUGCUGCUCUGCUCCCCAAAAGGAUUAAUGCCAUCUGCGCUUAGACCACACCAUACGUUCCUUGCGUCACCUACAAACUCAUCCCUAUAUACUUUCUCUCGAUUUUUCUCCACUACGACACGUCAGCGGGUACUCUCAACUUUCCGUCUUUCUUCGGUCUUCUCUGUGCCAUCGCAUCGCCUUGGCAUGUUUUUUGUUUUGGAAGAAACGUUUCAACCGUGGUAUUAUAGGAGCGUACCACAUCACCUUGGCAGGAAUCUUUUUCCUGGGGAGCUCGCCCUCGACAUCACCAAGGUCGUUGCGGCUGAUCUUAUAUCGCAAUUCACCGAAUAUCGAGCACACGUUCAAAUCCUCGUACUCACCGCGGUAGAGGAUGCAGUCAUUAGGGCAUGCAUGUAUCUUCUGCACCUCUAACCCUAGAGGGCAGACAACCUUCUUUGCUUUGUAUGCACUCUCGGGCAAUUCGUUGUCCUUUGGAAGCAUAUUCUUUAUCAUUACCAGCAACUUUCCAAAUCCGUUGUCAGAUACACCAUUCUCUGCCUUCCAUUGCAGCAAUUCCAGUGUAGUGCCCAACUUUUCUUGUCAGCUUCGGAAUUCAGGUACAACAGUUUCUUGUGAUCCUCUAACAUGCGCUGCAACUUCUUCUUCUCCAAAUCACUUGCGCAGUUUCUCUUUGCAUCGGCAAUGGCCCGACCUAGAUCAUCAGCGGGCUCAUCUGAUGCCUCUUAUUCAGCUUCUUCCCGCAUUGCCGGCUCAACUUCUUCCCCAGUUGUUGUAUCAUCGUAUUCAGGAAACCCAUGUCCAGGAUAGCUUUCGUUGUCCUCUUCUCCUUCAUUGCCUUCCAUCAUAACCCAUCUUUCUCUGUGCUUGGUCCAAACAUUAUAGUGGGGCAUGAAACCGGACUCAAACAGGUGGAUGUGAAUGGUUCUUGAGUUAGAGUAAUUGUGAUUAUUCUUACAGCCAGCACAUAGACAAGGCAUAAAACCAUCCGCCCGCUUGUUUGCCUCAGCCGCAAGCAGAAAAGUAUGCACGUCAUAAUGAACUCGGGAGAGCAUCGGUCAUCGUACAUCCAUUGUCGGCUCAUCUUCAUUACACAACACCGAAAAGACCAAAUUAAUACAAGUUCAUACAUAAAGUUCAUAUAACACUUCAAUGCAACAAACAAAUAACUCUCUAGCUAAAACAUUUAAAUGCAACAACAAAUGCGAUCAAGAUCGCAACUAAGGUAACAAUUGAUCUAACAACAUAAUGAUACCAAGCCUCAUUAUCAAUGGCAUAUUUUCUAAUCUUUCUAAUCUUCAAGCGCAUUUUCUCCAUCUUGAUCUUGUGAUCAUCGACGACAUCGGCAACAUGCAACUCCAAUUCCAUCUUCUCCCCCUCAAUUCUUUUCAAUUUUUCUUUCAAAUACUCGUUUUCUCUUUCAACUAAAUUUAACCUCUCGACAAUAGGGUCGGUUGGAAUUUCCGGUUCACAUACCUCCUAGAUAAAAAUAUCUAUGUCAACUUGAUGGGCAUAAUUUGUCAUAAACACGAAAUGCAACAAAUAGUUUUAAAAGAGAAUAUACCACAUCCGAAUCAUAACACGGACAAGGGCCGACGGGGACAGAUAUCAAGACCAUGGCACUAUGUAUAACAAACAACGUACGGGUAAGAUAAUUAUACGAGUAACUAUAUAUCCAAAUCACACAAACAUGAAUUUUUUAUAUAAAAAAGAUAAGAACAAGAGGCUCACCGCAAGGUGGUGCCGGCGACGGGACGGUGCGGGUGAUCGACGGUGGUUACUUCGGAGAUUUAGAAGGGCACUAAGUAAAUCACACCUACAUAUGCAAACUAAGUGUUAUUUUGUCCUCAAAUUGCAUAUAAAUAAAAUACUACCACAUAUAAUUCCUCCCAAAUUAGUAAAACCCACAAAUUAAUCACUAUAUAAACCAUUGCAAGAGGUAAUCCAGCAAUGAGAGAUGAAAGGACAAAGUUGCUAACCUUUGUGAUCAUUUGAAUGGACGGGGGCCUUCAAAUCUUGACAAAAUUUGGGCAAAAUUUGUGAUGAGCUCGAGAGAAAGAAGGGAAGAACAGAGAGGAGAGCGGAAAGGGGGGAGAACAGAGCGCGGGUGGACGAAGGGUUUAUAUAGGACGACCUUUAGUACCAGUUCGUGGCAGAAACCGGUACUAAAGGUGCUAGAGGGGCCCCAGACUGACAACAUCCUGCAACCACUCUCUUUAGUAUCGGCUCGUGGAACGAACCGGUGCUAAAAGUAUGGAACGAACCGGUACUAAUGAGAGUGGCCCGCCUAGCCGUUAGAACCGGCACUAAUGGAGUGCCAGCUCAAAUUCAUACCGGGACUAAUGAACUGAACAUUUGACCCUUUCUCUACUAGUACACCUCUCGGGACAUCAUCGAAGUUCUGCCUACCAGCUCUGUCAUGGGUUGGCAUUGCAGAUCCACAGCUAGCCGGAUGUUGGAUGUUGGCGAGGCGCCCGACCACAUCGUGUUGUGCACAGAGGCGCACCUAGGCCCUGCAGCCUUCCCUUCCAGUUCGACGGAGGGGGACCUAAUCUCGCCGAAUGCAGCGAUGAAGAUCGCUUUGGCCACUUCAGAUCUGACUGAUGCUGCACCAGAAUCUAUCCUCGCCACACCGACACCGUCGCCGCUGCCACAUGGUCAUGAAGAGACAACUCCAAUUGAUCAUGAAGUGACAACGCCAAUCCAUAUCCCUUCCUUCCACGCACAGACGGAAGGCCAGGAGGACACGCCCAUCUUCAUCCCGCGCAUGCCGACGCUGCUGCCUUCCCCUGCUAUGUGCUCUACGCCUCCAAGGGCACCGAAGGCAGAAGAAAAACCCUCGCAGGGGUCACCGGCCUACAACUCAUUCUCCACAGUUCGCGUCUCCUGGCAAAGAACAUGAACAUGUCGAUCGCCAAACUUGCGGAGAAGUUACUAUGUCAUCGGAUGGGCAUCGUGGCCGAAGGAGAACAGAUAACUGAGGCGGCAAUUGCAAAAUUUGCCUCGUUGUUCCAGGGGCGCCUCCCUGACAUUGCGAUUGCGGCUCUUCGAGCCCUAUUUAGGCUUGACUGCGAUCUCUCUGUUGUUGUUGAAGAAGCCCUGGUCCAUCAUGGAGGACAUGAAGGACUAGACAUGAGCGACGUGGCCACGGGCGAUGUAUGAUCUGAGUGCUUUGUCUGCUUUGAUGUAUCCAUGGUUUAAGUUUUUCGACAAAGGGUAAUAUAUUAAUAUCAAGAUGAUAUCAAGUACACCCGGCCUCUGCAACAACUCAAUGCCACGAGUAACUCGAGGCAUCAAGGAUGCACACAGCCAAAAAGAAAAAAGAAAAAAGAAAAAAAGAAAAAAAGAUCUAAGACACGCCGUAACCAACAACGAUACCAAGCACUACCGUGACAACACACAGGCUGCGAGUAGGUUCUCCAAAAGCAACGUCUUCAAGAAGAUAAAGACACACAAGUGUCACCGUUGCCGGAUUCAGUCAAAUACUAAAUCCUGAGUUUUCACCCUGAGAGAAGAACUGAGCAACAUCAUGCAAUGCCUUCAACAAGGUAACGAUAUCGAAAUACCGCCAUUGCCAGGUAUGACCGGCGAAGGACACACCAUGGGUUUUCACCCUGAAACUCCAGUCCCGGUACUGAAGUAGCACCACCAAACGCAACCACGAAGUGUUGUUGCAACCGCUGGAAGGUGUGUGGGCUUAAUUGUCCAGACCGGCGUGCUGCUAUACAUGAAACCAUUGCCGCCUCCUUCUGUCAUCUUGUUUGCAUCCAAGAAUCGAAGCUGCAGAUCAUUGAUCCAAUCCUCGCUACUUAUCUGGGUGGCCAGCGCCUCAAGAACUUUGCUCAAAGACCGGCUGAUGGCACUAAAGGUGGAAUCUUGAUACUCUGGGAUAGUGAUGCUGUUACUGUCACCAAUGUACAAACCGGAGCCUACUUCCUCUCCGUGACUGUGAAGCUCAACAACUCCGAUGAAAAAAAACCUUCAAACUGACUACAGUAUAUGGCCCCACUCGUAGCACGCAUAAGGAUGCUUUCUUCCAAGAGCUCAUCUCGCAAAAACCAACUUCGGGAACCAAAUGGCUGGUUAGCGGAGACUUCAAUCAAAUAUAUCGGGCUAGAGACAAGAAUCGCACGAAUGUGGACCGAAGCCACCUUGUCCACAUUCGAAACACCUUGAACGAUUGUGAGCUCAAGGAGGUUCACCUUCAGAAUAGAAGAUGCACAUGGAGUAAUGAACAAAAUGAUCCGACUUUGAGCAAACUUGACAGUUUCUUAUCCAAUGAGGAUUGGGACGUCGAAUUCUCCACUCACAUCCUUCAUGCCCUCUCAUCAUCGUUUUCAGACCACUGUCCCCUAUUACUUGCUAAUCAUGAUGCACCCAAGAGGCCCAAGUCCUUCCGUUUCGAAAACUACUGGAUCAAAAUGUCGGGCUUCCAAAAGGUAGUCAGUGAUGCUUGGAGCGAGGAUUCUAGACACGGUGAGCCCUAUAAAAGGCUCUUCCACAAGAUCAAGAAGACAAGUCAAAAAUUGCGUGCUUGGAGCAAGACCCUCUUUGCAAACUCAAAGGUCCAACUCCAUAUGGCCAUCGAAGUCAUCCUCCACCUUGACCCGGGGCAAGAUGAAAGAGCUCUUAGUCCGGAAGAAAGUGACAUCUGCAAAAGGCUUAAGAGAAAGGUUAUCAGCUUGACCGCCUUGGAGAAGGCCAGGAAGCGUGAAAACUCCAGAAUCACUAACCCCAAGGAAGGAGAUGCCAACACACGUUACUUCCAUCUGCGGGUCAACCAUAGAAGAAGGAAAAUUUUCAUUCACAGCCUCAAGCACAACAAUGGUUGGGUCACCGAGCACGAGCACAAGAAAAACAUUGUCCACCGCCACUUCUAGAACAUCGCAAAAAAAGGCCCUUCACGUAACAUUGACAUCAAUUGGGGGAUCAUCCCCACGCCCACUGCGACCUUCAUGAAUUGGGAGAGGCCUUCACCAAGGAGGAAGCUAAGAGAGUUGUGUUCUCCAUGCCAAGCGACAAGGCACCGGGCCCUGAUGGAUUCACGGGUGCCUUUUUCAAGGCAUGUUGGGACACUAUGAAGCCGGACCUCAUGCUUGCCAUCAACCAUUUCUCUGAUCUCCAUGCUACUCACUUCCAUCGGUUGAACUCGGCUGACAUUGCCCUCAUUCCGAAAAAGGACGGUGCUGAGGACAUCGCCGACUUUCGUCCCAUCAAUCUUAUACAUGUUGUUGCUAAACUAAUUGCUACGAUGAUGUCCAACCGGCUUGCCCCACACAUGAAUCAACUCGUCUCACACACCCAAAGUGCGUUCAUUAAAAGAAGAUGCAUCCAUGACAAUUUCAUGUAUGUGCGCAAUCUCGCGAGACGCUUCCACCGUAGAAAAACCCCGGCGUUGCUCUUCAAGCUUGAUAUCAAAAAGGCCUUCAACUCCGUUCGGCGGGACUUCCUCCUCGACCUGCUUCGACACCUUGGUUUCCCGCCCCGCUUUCGUGGUUGGGUUUCGACACUGCUAUCCUCAGCUUCGUCGCGUGUUUUGCUCAAUGGCGUGCCCGGCGAUCCCAUCAAGCUUGGUCGUGGGUUGAGGCAAGGGGACCCUCUAUCCCCCCUGUUAUUCAUGCUCGCUAUCGACCCGCUGCACCACAUCCUUGUGAAGAUCACGGUUCAAGGAAAUCUUCACCCGCUCGGCGGAAAUGCUAUGCCUAUUCGUGCUUCGCUCUAUGCAGAUGACGCCAUUGUUUUUCUUGCGCCUAUUAAGGAGGACGUCCAAUUUUUCGCUGAAACUCUCAAGCACUUUAGUGAGGUCACCGGCCUAGUCACAAAUUGUUCAAAAAGUUGUGUCGCCCCAAUCCGUUGCAAAAAUGUUGAUCUUUCGGACAUCCUCCAAUCCUUCCCGGCCAAGCGUUCCUCCUUUCCGAUGAAAUACCUUGGGUUGCCUUUGUCCGUGAAGAGGCUGAAGAGAAUCCACUACCAACCCAUAGAGGACAAGGUGGCGAGUCAGCUCACUCCUUGGGUGGGAAGGCAUAUUGCCUCGGCGGAUCGUGCGGUCUUGGUCAAGUCGGUCCUCUCGGCGAUUGCUAUCAACUACAUGAUGGUGUUACAGUUACCGGUCGAGGUCAAAUAGAAGAUUGAUGCCCUCAGACGUGCUUUCCUUUGGGCAGGUUGUGAUAAGGUCACUGGUGGAAAAUGCAAGAUAAAUUGGGAGCAGGUGUGCAAGUCCAAGAUGCAUGGAGCCCUUGGAAUCCUAAAUCUUGACAAGUUUGCCAUUGCUCUUCGCCUUCGUUGGUUGUGGGCCGAGUGGCUUCACCCAGACAAGCCAUGGGUUGGCUUGGGAACCCCAUGUGAUGACAAUGACAGAAAUAUCUUUGCUGCGGCUACCAAGGUCCAAGUUGGGGAUGGUAUGCGUGCCAAGUUCUGGGAGUCUCCUUGGCUUGAUGGUAUUAGACCCAAAGACCUGGCUCCUAAAAUCUUUGACUUGUCGAAGAAGAAGAAUUGCUCGGUCCGAAUGGCUCUGCAUGAGAACUUCUGGACUUGCCAGGUGGACAUUCUUCAAGGCAUCACCGUCGAACACCUCGUUGAGUUUGUCACCCUUUGGGAGAGGGUCUCCCACGUCAACCUCGACGUCGACACACCCGACAACAUAACGUGGAAGUUCACUACUGACGGUCUCUACUCAGCGGCGUCGGCCUACAAGGCGCAAUUCUUGGGCCAUACUGACACAACCAUGAUCCCGACCGUUUGGAAGAUUUGGGCUCCUCCUAAAUGUAAGUUCUUCGCAUGGCUGGCAAUCAACAAUAGGAUUUGGACGGCGGACAGGCUUCAACGUCGUGGGUGGCCAAAAUGUAAUCUUUGUCCACUAUGCAAACAAGUCCAGGAGUCGGGGGCCCACCUACUAUUCCAAUGCCGAUACACUAUUAGAGUUUGGCGCAUGGUCAAAGAUUGGCUUGGUCUCCAGGAUGUGCAUCCUUCUGAUUGGAGUGACGCGACUUCCGCCAAAGAGUGGUGGAGCCACAAUGCUAACAGGAAGAACCAAUCGCUAAAGCCACUUGCUUCCUUGAUGCUUCUCAUCUCUUGGGAAUUGUGGAAAGAGAGGAAUGCACGGAUCUUCCGUAACGAGGCCGUUCCAGUGGGUGUCAUUUUCACUAGGAUUAAAGAGGAAACCUCGCUUUGGAGCAUUGCGGGGGCGAAGCACUUGAGUAACGUAAUGCCGCGAGAGUGAUUAUUGUAAUUCGGCCAUGGGCCUUAAACCUCUAAAACUUCUCUCUUAAUCAAUGAAAAUGGCAAAUCUUUUGCCUCGUUUAAAAAAAAUAUAGACUGUGUACAUGUCAUGGCACCAAGCUAGGAAGUAUACAUAAUAGGAGAUGAUGAUGAUGUAAUAUCAUGAUGCUGAGAUCUAGGAAAGACUCGCAGAGUCGCAGGCAAUCUGUCCCAAACUAUGGUGGCAUCGUUCGGGUAGAGAUGUUAGUAGGAUGAACCAACACCGACAGAAGUGACACGAGCAAAGAAGAGUGUGGAACUCUAGAGCUCCCCCUGUGAGCUGCCAGCAGGAUCAACAUCAGUGUGCUUCAAACCUCAAGUUGAGUCAGAACAGGAACCAAAAUUGGUAAGAGCAUCUAGUCUGCACCAUAGCCUGAAGUAGUUUUUGUAGUGGCACAGAAUGAACCGGCGAGACCGACAAAUAGGAAGGGGAUGUUUGAGAGCACGUUCAAUGUUUUAGGGAUCCCUGAGAAAGUAAUUGAGCCAAAGGUACAGUUCACUCCCUCCCCAGUUUCCCUCUUUCUCAAGGAGCGCACGCAAGUACACGUACAAAGCUGCUGGUUUCGGACGAGUUGCACACGUACGAUCCUAAGCAGCCAGCCAGGCAGCUGGAUCAAAUCGCCGGCUUGAUCGCUCACUCUCUCGCCGAAACACACCACGAACACGACGACACAGGAGACUCGCCGACUUAUUGCCACAGGUGCCUGUCGCACCAGUUAAUUCUAGAUCUCACGUUUUAUGAAAAAGGUUUUGCCCCCGCUUUAUAUUAUAAAACAUUCAUCACCGAUUACAACCGAGAGCCGAUACAAACACACACCACCACUACACACCACGCACCCUAGGCAAGAACACACACCCAGGGCGAGAUAUAAAGAUGCCGGGCACCAACACACCACUCCAACGAACUACAAAGCACACUAAAGAUGAGCAAAGAGGCAUCGCCUUAAGCCGACGGAAAUCACUAUGAGCAACCACCGAGGAGAGGUGAGACGACCGACGGCAGAACAAGGACUUCAAAACAGUGCCUCCAACAAGGGCACGACCAUAGCCGCCACUGUCCGAUCCCGCAAAUCAAGCUUUCGCCUGCAGUAACCCGAAGGGGAAGGGAGCACCACGACGGAGCCUGCAGGGAGGAAACUACGUCCGCGGACGCCGCCACCGUCGGCCCAUAUGAGAACUGGGCAAGUGAUGACCCCCGGUGCACCAACCCUUCGGCACACCCCCGCUCCGCCAACCACCCUCAUUCAUGCCGCGCGCGCGGCCCUGUCUGCCCGCCCGCACCCGAGUUGCGCAAUCUGCCCAAGAUAAACGGAUCUCCCACCGCCAGGGCCGCCGUCCAGCAUCAAGACCGUCCCGGCACCCUCAAAGGAGAGGGCUUUUGAUGGAGCCAACUUCCACCACCGCCGCAACCGGCAACGAUCGUCCCGCCUCAGACAUCGCCGGGACAACAACCACGAAGCAUCAGGUAGGGGAAAGGGGAAGGCGAGGUGCGACAACUACCCUUUCCCCCCGAAGCACCUGCUUUGCCCCAGCCCUGCUAUUGGCACAGCUCAACGCGUGGCCACCGACGGCCGCUAGUCCGACAAAGGGGGGAGAAGAGCCAGCACCGCCGCCGCCGCGAAGGAGGGGUCCAGGAACAGCCCGCCCGCGCCCCACGCCGCCGUCCACCGCCGAGAAGGGCGCCCAACUGCACCACGGAGCCCGCACGCGCCACCACCACCUACCGCCACGCCACCAGCACCGCCACCCCUCUGCACGGCGGUGCCAGCCGCCCGCGGCCCUGCUGCACCCAGCCCGCGCCGCCGGAAGAGGCGUCAGAGCCAGAUCGGGUCGGAUCUAACCCCACCUACGCGCACCACCUGACGGGCCGGCUGCCACCGAAGGCGCAGCCAGCCACCACGUCGGCAGCAUGGAGGCGCACCAAGCCGCAUCCGCCCAUCGACGCCGAGAUACCUGGCGCCUGCAUCCCGCCCUGGCCCGAAGGGAAUGGCCCGCGCCCGCCACGCCGCGCGAGACGGCGCGAGAAGUCCCGCCGCCACCGCCACAGCCCGGGCGCGCACCCUGGCGGCAGCGAGGGAGGUGAAGGGAGGGGAGGGGACGGCGGCAGCGGGGAUUUGGGUUGCCUCACGUUCGCCGCGCAGGGGCGACGCGGGGGGAGGGGGGUUCGAUCUCACGUUUUACAAGGGGUAGAGUAUGUAGAGUCUCUCGAAACAGGCUUUUGCCCCCCUAUAAAUAAAGACACGAACCGAACUAGGUACGCGGCCAAACGAUACAUGUUGGUGAGGUGACCCUCAUACAAAGAUGAUCCUACACUACCCAGAUCGCGAAGCAGACAAGCAACUAUGCUACCCAAUGGGAACACAGGGAGAAUGGAGCACAAUCACGCAACACCCUAGGACACCUAAGCUCCUAGACAAUGCCCCCAACAGAGAGAACAACUCAGAGCGUCGUCGUUGCCUAUCCCCACCGUGCAAGGGUCUUCACUCGGAACUCUGACGCGGCGAGGAGAUCCACGGCGACGUCUUCAGGAAGUGAACGGUGCCUGCAAGCGUCGCCGUCGCCGGUGCAAAAGCGCGGACCUUUCGCUCGGCACCCCAUCCUAAGUCACUGAGGCCCUAGGGCAAACGCGGCAUGCCCAGACCCUAGAUCCAGAUCUGGGCGACCUCCAGCAGAGGACGCCCCCGAGCCACCAACUGCUAUCCCUCUCAUCGCCAGCACGACAAAGAAGGGAGCCACCACCGCCGACAUGGCGCCCGUCGGAGAGGCAACCAUCCGAACCACCAUCCGGAGCCGCCGCUCCGGCAUCCAAGUCCAAGACCUCACCCACCGGCCACCACAGAGUACCAGCCACGGUAGGAAUAGCGAAAGUCCACAUCUUUCAUUCCUAACCCGACAUGAGCCACGAAGGCUGGGCCUGCGCCACCACUGCAAGGCCCCCAGCCCUGUGUCCCCGACAUGAGCCGGACUGGGUGAGACACACCUCUGCGAUUCCCGACGACCGUCGCCAAGUACACUCAGACAACGCCGUGUCCAUGGCCCUCGACUCCGUGUUGCCCGACAGUACCGUGAAGUCCCGAAUAUUAGCAGCGACCACCGUACCACCGGAGGGAGGGACUCGCCUAUCGUGGGUACAUCCUGGAUCGAGCCCAAUCUGACCCACCCAGAGCGGCAACUCCGACACGCCUCAGGCCCCGGUCAGAUCCUCCCGAGCAAGCGCCCCCGAUCAUAGCCAUUCUAGAUCGAGGAGAAGGAAGAUCACAUCCGCCACACGGCGCCGCCGAUGGGGCAUGUCCAUCGGAGAGCGCCGCCGCCUCCACUGACCCGCUCCACCCGCACCCCGGUCAAGCCGGUCACCGCGGCCAUACCGCCGGACCCUCCCGACAGGGCACACCACCACUCCGGACCACCACCGGCACCCGAAGCCACCGGCGACGGCCGGCCCACACCACCACAGCCCGCGUCGCUCACGAGAUGGUGGCCGGACAAGCCCCCGAUGCAGAUCAGCAAGGUCCAUUGCCGCCUCGCCAAGCACGCCCCGCCCCGGACAUCCAGCAGCCGCCAGCAACAGAUGUCGCCGCCGAAUCUCGCCGGUCCACCACGGCCAGCAGCCAACGCCGUCCAGGACCUGCAGAGGCCGCCGGCCCCGCGCCGCCCAUGGCUCCCAGCGCCAGAUCGGGGCGCGAGCAGCAGCAAGCACGCCCCUCCAGCCACCAGCCGACGCACCGUGCAAGGCCCCAGCCGUCGAUCGUUGGAAGGGCACCCGCCGCGCCGCCGCGACCCACCAACCACGGUGCCCUGGCCCGUUGAAGCGCCCCACACCGAUGCCACAUGCGAGGGGACGAGGAGGCCCGCCGCCGCCAGCGCCAGCCAGGCUUUGCCUAGCCGCACCCUGUGGCGGCGGCGGGGGAGGAAGGGGACGGGAGGAGGGGAGGAGGCCAGCGGCGCCUAGCGUUCCCUCCCCGUCGCCUGUGGGGCGAGGCUGGAAGGGUGGGUCGAGAGUAUAUAGUGGCGAAGCCCUCGCGUCUUACAAGAUCUGUACCAUCAUUCAUACCUAACAUUCCUCAGUUUGUAGAGUGGCCAGGCCCUCGCAUUAGCAGCCAAUUUAGCUGAUAUAAUCAAAGCAGCAAACAUAAUGCUGACCACUCAGAAGCUUUUCCUUGGUACUGACCAAAAAAAGCAUGCUGAUUUGUCUAAAUUGUAAUUCGAAUGAUUUUGUGGUUCUACGGAUGGAAGACUGUGAGAGCGUGCAAGCUUCAAUGCCUGAGAUUUGGUUUUGCUGGAACAGGAACCACCCAUGCCGAAAUAUAAACAACUUUGAUUGAGUAGACGAAGGGCUCAGCUUUACAUACUGACAGACAUACACUUUGUCUAGGAAAAGGUAGCAUUAGGUGAAGUUCAAGUGCUACAUGUUCCUACUAGCGCUCAGUUACCAAGGGGGCCCCACGGCGGUUUUCAUCAACAUUCGCUCCAGUCUGAACAUCAUCAAGCCCGCCGUUGAUGCUGUUGCGGGUGUUAGACUCAAGAUUCGGCCUCAUCCCACUACCUGCACGAUCACACCACGAUCCCCAGCGACUUUAGCCUUCAGUUGUAUGGCUCGGUCCCUCCAUAUGCAACCACUGUACUCUGUAAAGAAUAUAGCCUUGAUUCCCCCAAAUAUCAUGCACAACGCCCAAGGGCUGGCUUUAGUCAUAUUUAUACUAGACCUAACACAUACUCCCCAUCUGUUCACAAAUUCAUGAAGCAGAAUGUGCUCUCUGUAUUGGUUUACUCCAAUAUCUCAGCAAAGUAAGAAUGUGCAGUAUAGAUUGUUCCACAAACAAAGGACCUCCAUAUAUGCAUUGUGUGGGUGGUGAAGAAACUUCCACUUGCAUAUAUAGUCUCGAUUCCCCUGCUACCAAAGAGAUCAUCAUAUUGCCAUGACCAUUUGCAUUACUAUGGCAUGGUAGAUCGUCAUGCUUGUUCUGUUUCCUUUUUAUCCUGCGGGCGACCCAGGCGGAACCCUAGCCGCCGAGUGAGCUCCCUCCUCGCCAGAUCUCCCUUCCCCUCGCCGCUGCCAGCAGGCGCUGCCGGGCAAAGACCGCGCAGCGUCAGCGGCGGCGGGGCACUCCGGUUCUCCCUCUCAUGGUGCUUGGGCGUUGCAGGGCGUCCGCCGUGGUAGCGCGUGGUCGCCGUGGCGAGCUUGCGUUGGGGCUGCGCGCCGAGUGUGUACGACGCACGGGAGCGCGUGCGGUGCGCGGACGCAGGCGUGGGGAUCUGGCUCUCAUGGCGCGGCGCCGGUUGGCAGAUCGUCUCUCGGGGCGGCAGCCUCGAUCGGUGGCGCGCGGUGCGGCCUGCCUGGCGGGUGGCAUCCGCGGGUGCAGAUGGGGGCCUUCCACAACUGCGUGGGCGAGGUGGAGGCGUCGGUGCUGCAAUGGCUCCUCGAUGGCCGACCGGAGUUCCAUGAGAGGCGUCGUCUCCGACUCGAUCUACUCCGGUUCGUGCUGGCUACGGUAGCGACUAUGGGCGACGCCAAUGCUGCCUGGACGGAUCUGGCGGGUGGGCAUGGAUCCGGGGGAAACUCCAGGCCAGCGUGGCGGCCGCACCAAAGUCGAUGCCCUCGAUCGGCGCCGAUUCCCUUCCUGGAGGCUUCGGUGUGGAUGCUACGCCCCCCACCUCUGCCAUGAGCGCAGGAGAAAGCCUCUCUUCCUCUGUUUGGGUGACGAUGGCACUUUGGUGUCAUAUUCCUUCCUGAAGGUGUCGGCCAGGGACUGCUCAGGGUGGUGGAGUUGCUGGUAGUUCGGAGUCGACGCGAGAUGGCAUGUAGGCGGAGCGGUGUGGCAUCAACCGUAUCGUCGAUGGUGGUUCUCGGCAGCAUGGCGCAGUGGAGACUCGGCGUCUGAUGCGCGGAGAUGGACUCGCGCAGGAGGAGGAAGUUGUAUGGCGUCAUGGUGGCGUUGAUGCCAGAGAGGCCUCGCAAGGUUGGUGCAUCAGUUCUACUCUGAGGAUGGACCGAUGGAAGAUGGAGGUGACGGCCCUUGCAGCGUGCGGUGCUCACUGGGAGUGUGCCGGACCGGUGCGGGACCCAAUCCAGGUAGUGGCUUGGAUGGGACACCCGGCUUUAGAUGUUAGGCUUUGGUCCAAUGUCUGUUUGGUAUUAGGCCCGGACAUUCGGCACACCUUCAUCAAGGGGAUAGGAGUAGCAACAGCGUUGCCAAGAUAGUGGCUUCAGACUUAUUGAUGUAUCACCUUAUAUGAUUUUUGUUAAUAAUUAAUAAUAUGGCUGCAUGCAUCGUCCAGAUGCAGAGAAUGGGGGUACAUCCUCCUUUUCUAAAAAAAAUGCUUGUUCUGUUUCACAGAAAUGCCGUUUUUACUGUUCUAAUCACCAGUACAUCUCUGCCAAAAAGAAAACAAGGAACUCUGAAAUCAUUUGUUAACUACAUGGAACUCUGAAGGGUGAAAUAUGAAUCCAGGGCUCGCAAUCCAUGGCAACAAAUGCAUGGUAAAACAGAGCAAAUCUCGGGCCAGAGCUCCCAUAUCCGUAUCGCAGUUAUUAGCCCAUAUCCGCAUCAGGAACCAUACAUGUAUUUGUCGACAGUGAAGGAACGCAAGAUAAACAUUGCCCGAUUCAGAAGAUGACACAUCAACUGCUACUCUCAGCACAAACGGACAUGGACUGAACUGCUCACCCUGACGAAAUAAAGUGGAUAUGGUCUCGGUACNNNNNNNNNNNNNNNNNNNNNNNNNNNNNNNNNNNNNNNNNNNNNNNNNNNNNNNNNNNNNNNNNNNNNNNNNNNNNNNNNNNNNNNNNNNNNNNNNNNNNNNNNNNNNNNNNNNNNNNNNNNNNNNNNNNNNNNNNNNNNNNNNNNNNNNNNNNNNNNNNNNNNNNNNNNNNNNNNNNNNNNNNNNNNNNNNNNNNNNNNNNNNNNNNNNNNNNNNNNNNNNNNNNNNNNNNNNNNNNNNNNNNNNNNNNNNNNNNNNNNNNNNNNNNNNNNNNNNNNNNNNNNNNNNNNNNNNNNNNNNNNNNNNNNNNNNNNNNNNNNNNNNNNNNNNNNNNNNNNNNNNNNNNNNNNNNNNNNNNNNNNNNNNNNNNNNNNNNNNNNNNNNNNNNNNNNNNNNNNNNNNNNCGGGAUGAGUUCUACACUGUUGGACAUUCGGAAAAACUAGACCAAGAAUGAGUUGAUGAGGCCACUGACAAAUGUUUUCGUUUGUGUAGAGUAGUACAAUAUUGAUCAGGACCGUUCACAUACUGUCAAUGAACGUUGAUUAGCAGCCAAUAACACACAACGGUGCUCGCUGGAGCUCCCGAUAUUCAGAUUGAUGCUAUUUAACUUUGCAAGUACACGUGAGAAACACAUACAUCUACUGUUGUUCAGAUGUAGUUGAAACUGCAGCAAAAUCAUAUUUGACGGCUAGAGUGUUGCUAUCUUUGGAACGGCGUUCUCUCCAACUGAUCUUCCACAUCUAGAGCAAACUUAUCCUGCAUAGCAGAGGAAAAAACAUUAGCCACAAGGGGACAGAGAAUCAAAGGCAUUAUACAUUACAUAUCCAAGGCGAAUUCAAUGUGAUGAAGUUAUCAAUACCACAUACACAGGACGAAUGCAAAAAUUGUUUUCUGGAAGCGAACCAGAGUAGUAUUAGGUGUACCAUGAAAAGUUUUCUAAGAACCAGCCGUGCAAGGUUCAGUUCAUUUUAAAAAUACCAACAACUUAACUGCAGAUGUCUUAUUCCAAUUUCAUUCUAGUAAUCGAAGUGAACAAAAAAUCAACCUCAUAAGGAGCGAAAACAUCUAAAUUUUCGGGGGCACCUUCGAAGCCGCUGAAUGAUGUUCGAGUCGCGGCUAGCUUGGGGACACUGGUUGGGAAAACCGAGAGGGUGGAUAUGGCCUUUACCCGAGCAAACGGGGUGGCUAGAUUGCUUGUCAGUAUCCUGGAUAUCGAGUAUGUACCAUAUGUGGUUAAGUGGACUCAUAGAGGCAUGAUUUACAACCUCCAGAUCGAGUUCGAGGACACCGAGCUUUUCUCAGAGGCCUUGGCAGGGAACGAUGUUGAUAUGCUUGAUAAGGAUGAUGGCUCGGGUAACAAGGAGGUGUGAGAGGAUGACCGUGGGCGUGAUGCAUCUAACAUCCCGGGUUCCGACGCGUCGUCGCCCGGGAAAGGGACUACACCUUCGACUGUUGCACCCAUGAACACGUUGAGAUUUGGUUCGUUUGAGCCUGCCUCUGCUCCUCCUAGACUAUGGAGCGAUCAGGUGGAGUGUGAUGAUUUGCAUGAGCGAUCGCUUCCUCCCCAGGAUUUUGCUGCUGCUGACACACCGGUGGGUGGUUGUUCUGAUGAGUUGGUUGUUGCGAUAACCUCGGUGGAGAGUACACCGACUCCACCGGCAGUGAUCGGUCUGGGCGCUCAGCUACGCCUCGAUGGUGGGGAUGAUCUUGGGCAGGCGGCCCUACGAUCCCCCUCUCUGAGUGGUGCUUCCCCGCCGGCGAGGAGUCCGUUGAUGACUGGUGCGACGAUGGCCGUGCCGCGGGCCAGCAGGGCGGCCGGACCGGGAGGGGGGCACGGGCAGGAGGCCUCCGCCCCUGCCUCUCCCAUGGCGCACAUGGUUGCGGUGGCCGGACCGGGAGGGGGGGGGGCGGCAGGAGGCCUCCGCCCCUGCCUCUCCCAUGGCGCACACGGCUGCGGCGGCGUCCGCGUCGUCUACUUGACUCGGGCUCUCGACGCCCACUCGGAGCAUUGCCUUGCAGUAGGUAACGAGCCCGGUGUUGGCCAUGCCACCUUCCGGGGGUGGGGCCAGGUCGGGAGCGGGCGCGGGCAGGUGGCCUCCGCCCCUACUUCUCCCUUGGCGCCAUUGGUUGGUGGGGCUCCCGUGGCGUCCCCGGGAUCCGGACACCGGCCGAUGCCGCGGGAGGCGCCGGGAGCUUCCCCGGUGCUUACAACGGCUCUCGGUUGUACCCCGGCUGCUCCAGUUCAGUUGAGCCCUGUUGGAGGUUGGGCAGGAGGCCCCACCCCAAACGGGGCCACGCGGGAGGAGAUCAUUGCUUUUGGAGGGAUCCCGGAUCCUGUCUCUGAAGGACGAUGGAUGAGUUGUCGCCUCCAGGAUCAGCCUGAUGUUGAUGACAUGCAGCUAAGGUGCGCUAUGCGGGCGGCCAAGCUUCGUGACAUUGAGGUCACUACUGGUAUGUCGGUCAAUACGUCCAAUUCUAUUAUACAUUUUUCCAAUGAUGAGAUCGUUCAUAACGCAAAUCAGUUAGGAGUUUCACUAGGUAGUAAUGGCAGUGAAAUCUCUAAAUCAGUUAAUGAUAUCCUGGAUCUUGAAGCGGAGCGUGCUUUAGAAAUGAUUCGAAACUUAGCAGCCGUUAAACCCAUGAACGAUUCCGACAUAGAUGCGUUGGGAGUCAGGGUUCUUGACAGUUUUUGUGCGGAUCUUGCCCCUUCACUUCCUGAGACAGAUGAGGACGAAGGAUAUAGUUCCCCAAGGGACUCUACCCUUGUAGGUGUUCAGGAGGUUAGGUCCACGGAGCCCGGUUGUGAGGACCGGCUGGAGGAUCAAAAUAAGCCUAAACGGAAGUGGAAACGAAAGAUUUAUCCAGCUUCGGCUGUGCGUAGAAGUGUUAGGAUCCGUAUCUCUAAAAAAUUUCAUGAUGAAAUAUGAGGGGAAUUUUUUGGAAUAGCAGAGGUCUUAAAGACUUGGCUAAAAUAAGGUUUCUAGCGGAUGCGUCUAUCGAACACCAGUUGGAUUUUAUCGCCCUUUCCGAAACUGGAAGGGACAAUUUCACCCCCCAGUUCCUUAGCACUUUAUCGGGAGGUGUCGAUUUUGACUGGCAUUGCCUACCUCCAAGAGGAAGGUCCGGUGGGAUCUUACAUGGGGUUGAAUGUGAUUCGUUGGAAGUUCGGAGUGUGGUCAUGGGACAUUUUGCUGUGAAGUUUCGGGUCAGAUCAAAGGUCGAUGGGUUUAAUUGGGCAUUAGUGGCGGUGUAUGGUGCCGCGCAGCCAGAACUCAAACCAGAAUUUUUGGCUGAUCUUGUCCCUAUUUGCGGUAGCAAGCAGCUCCCAAUUCUGGUUGGGGGCGAUUUUAACAUUAUUCGAAGGAGGGAGGAAAAGAAUAAUGAGAAUUUCGACGGAAGAUGGUUGUUUAUGUUUAAUACCAUAAUCAAAAGCUUGGAUCUUAGAGAGAUAGAACUUUCUGGCAGAAAAUUCUCUUGGGCUAAUACGUUGCCAAACCCGACAUUUGAGAAGGUGGAUCGUGUCCUCGCUAGCGUUGAAUGGGAGCAGAAGUUUCCCUGGUAAUAGUCCAAGUGUUAUCACGUGCGAUCUCGGACCACACCCCGCCGCUCGUUGACUCUGGCGAGGCAACCCAUGUGGGGAAUAAAAACACUUUUUCUUUCGAAUUAGCAUGGUUCGAAAGAGAAGGGUUCCUGGAUCUGAUAGCAAGGGAAUGGGCUAAAGAUUCAGGAGGGAGGUCCCCUGUUAAAAGAUAGCAGAAUAAGAUAAGGCAUGUACGAAGAUUCCUUCGUGGGUGGGACUUAUAAGGUUGAAAAGGAAAGGCUCCUUGUACUAAUUCAAUCCCGAGAUUUAAAAGCCGAGUCCACCAUUUUGGAUACCAGGAAGCUGGAAACUAAAGUGGAGGCGGAGAUGAGAAUGAAAGAACUACUUCGAGAGGAGGAAUUGAAUUGGGCAUCGCGAGCUAAAGUUUGCAAAAUCGUCCAAGGGUAUGAUAACACUCAAUUCUUUCAUAUGAUUGUGAAUGGUAAGCACCGAAAGAAGAUGAUAUUUCAGCUUGAGCAGGAUGGGACGAUUUUAGGACAGGAAAACCUAAAAUUAUAUAUAACCAAUUACUAUAAGCAGAUGUUUGGGCCUCCGAAGGAUAACUUCGUAUCCUUGGAUGAGUCCAGGGUUGAGGAUGUCCCCCAAGUUGCUGCGGAUGAGAAUGAUAUUUUGACCGCCCCAUUUAUGGAGAAAGAGGUGUUUGAAGCUAUUUCACAAAUGAAGAAUAAUAAGGCUCCAGGGCCGGAUGGUUUCCGGCGGAGUUUUAUAAAAAGUGUUGGCAUAUUGUUAAAGGGGAUUUGUGUUGGGGAACGCAGUAUUUCAAAAAAAAUCCUACGAUCACGUAAGAUCUAUCUAGGAGAUGCAUAGCAACGAGACGGGAGAGUGUGUCCACGUACCCUCGUAGACCGAAAGAUGAAGUGUUUAGUAACGCGGUUUAUGUAGUCGAACGUCUUCACGAUCCAACCGAUCCAAGUACCAAGCGUACGGCACCUCUGUGUUCAGCACACGUUCAGCAUGAUGACGUCCCUCGAGCCCUGAUCCAGUUGAGGAUGAGGGGGAGUUCCGUCAACACGAUGGCGUGGCGACGGUGAUGAUGAAGUAACCGGCGCAAGGGCUUCGCCUAAGCAGUACGACGAUGUGACCGAGGUGUUAACUGUGGAGGGGGGAGGCAGCCUAUGGCGCGCCCAAGUAGGCCUACUUGGGCCCCUAGUCCAAUCCCCCCCCCCCCCGACCAUAUUUGGACAAGGCGGAAAGGAAGGACGGGGGAUGGGAAGGAAGUAGGAGUCCUACUUCAUACUUUCCUUUUCCUCCUCUCCUUUCCCUUUCUCCCCACGUGGCUGGCCCUAUAGGGGGCGCACCAGCCCCUUGUGGGCUGGUGUGUUCCCUUACUUGGCCAUUAAGCCCAUAUCUUUGCCGGGGGUUGCCCGGAACCCCUUCCGGUGACCUGGUAUCACCCAUAACACUUCCGGUGUCCAAAUACCAUCGUCCUAUAUAUGAAUCUUUACAUGUCAACCAUUUCGAGACUCCUCUUUAUGUCCGUGAUCUCAUCCGGGACUUCGAACAAACUUCGGUCAUCAAAUCACAUAACUCAUAAUACAAAUCAUCAUCGAACGUUAAGCGUGCGGACCCUACGAGUUCGAGAACUAUGUAGACAUGACCGAGACACAUCUCUGGUCAAUAACCAAUAGCGGAACCUAGAUGCUCAUAUUCGCUCCAACAUAUUCUGCGAAGAUCUUUAUCGGUCAAACUGCAUAACAACAUACGUUGUUCCCUUUGUCAUCGGUACGUUACUUGCCCGAGAUUCGAUCGUCAGUAUCAUCAUACCUAGUUCAAUCUUGUUAUCGGCAAGUCUCUUUACUCGUUUCGUAAUGCAUCAUCCUGUGACUAACUCAUUAGUCACAUUGCUUGCAAGGCUUAUAGUGAUGUGCAUUACCGAGAGGGUCCAGAGACACCUCUCCGAUACAUAGAGUGACAAAUCCUAAUCUCGAUCUAUGCCAACCCAACAAACACCUUUGGAGACAUCUGUAGAGCAUCUUUAUAAUCACCCAGUUACGUUGCUACGUUUGAUAGCACACAAGGUGUUCCUCCGGUAUUCGGGAGUUGCAUAAUCUCAUAGUCGGAGGAACAAGUAUAAGUCAUGAUGAAAGCAAUAACAAUAAAACUAAACGAUCAUUAUGUUAAGCUAACGGAUGGGUCUUGUCCAUCACAUCAUUCUCUAAUGAUGUUAUCCCGUUCAUCAAAUGACAACACAUGUCUAUGGUUAGGAAACAUAACCAUCUUUGAUUAACGAGCUAGUCAAGUAGACGCAUACUAGGGACACUUUGUUUUGUCUAUGUAUUCACACAUGUACUAAGUUUCCGGUUAAUACAAUUCUAGCAUGAAUAAUAAACAUUUAUCAUGAUAUAAGGAAAUAUAAAUAACAACUUUAUUAUUGCCUCUAGGGCAUAUUUCCUUCAGUCUCCCACUUGCACUAGAGUCAAUAAUCUAGUUCACAUCGCCAUGUGAUUUAACACACUAGUUCACAUCACCAUGUGAUUAGUUCAACUCGCCAUGUGACUAAUACCCAAAGGGUUUUACUAGAGUCAGUAAUCUAGUUCACAUCGCUAUGUGAUUAACACCCAAAGAGUACUAAUGUGUGAUCAUGUUUUGCUUGUGAGAGAAGCUUAGUCAAUGGGUCUGUCAUAUUCAGAGCCGUAUGUAUUUUGCAAAUUUUCUAUGUCUACAAUGCUCUGCAUGAAGCUACUCUAGCUAAUUGCUCCCACUUUCAUUAUGUAUCCAGAUUGAGACCCAGAGUCAUCCGGAUCGGUGUAAAAGCUUGCAUCGGCGUAACUCUUUACGACGAACACUUUAUCACCUCCAUAACCGAGAAAUAUCUCCUUAGUCUUCUAAGGAUAAUUUUGACCGCUGUCAAGUGAUCCACUCCUGGAUCAAUAUCAUACCCCCUUGCCAAACUUAUGGCAAGGUACACAAUAGGUUUGGUACACAGCAUAGCAUACUUUAUAGAACCUAUGGCUGAGGCAUAGGAAAUGACUUUCAUUCUCUUUCUAUUUUCUGCCGUGGUCGUGUUUUGAGUCUUACUCAACUUUACACCUUGCAAUACAGGCAAGAACUCCUUCUUUGACUGUUCCAUUUUGAACUACUUCAAAAAUCUUGUCAAGGUAUGUACUCAUUGAAAAAUCUUAUCAAGCGUCCUGAUCUCUCUCUAUAGAUCUUGAUGCCUAAUAUGUAAGCAGCUUCACCGAGGUAUUUCUUGAAAAACUCCUUUCAAACACUCCUUUAUGCUUUUUAGAAAAUUCUACAUCAUUUCCGAUCAACAAUAUGUCAUUCACAUAUACUUAUCAGAAAGGUUGUAGUGCUCCCACUCACUCUCUUGUAAAUACAGGCUUCACCGCAAGUCUGUAUAAAACUAUAUGCUUUGAUCAACUCAUCAAAUCGUAUAUUCCAACUCCGAGAUGCUUGCACCAGUCCAUAGAUGGAUCGCUGGAGCUUGCACAUUUUGUUAGCACCUUUAGGAUUGAUAAAACCUUCUGAUUGUAUCAUAUACAACUCUUCUUUAAUAAAUCUAUUGAGGAAUGCAGUUUUGACAUCCAUUUGUCAUAUUUCAUAAAAUGUGGCAAUUGCUAACAUGAUUCGGACAGACUUUAAGCAUCGAUACGAGUGAGAAAAUCUCAUCGUAGUCAACACCUUGAACUUGUUAAAAACCCUUUUCGACAAGUCAAGCUUUGUAGAUAGUAACACUACUAUCAGCGUCCGUCUUCCUCUUGAAAUCCAUUUAUUCUCAAUGGCUUGCCGAUCAUCGGGCAAGUCCACCAAAGACCACAAAUUGUUUUCAUACAUGGAUUCUAUCUCAGAUUUCAUGGCCUCAAGCCAUCUGUCCGAAUCUGGGCUCAUCAUCGCUUCCUCAUCGUUCAUAGGUUCAUCAUGGUCUAGUAACAUGACUUCCGGAACAGGAUUACCGUACCACUCUGGUGCGGAUCGUACUCUGGUUGACCUACGAGGUUCAGUAGUAACUUGAUCUGAAGUUUCAUGAUCAUCAUGAUUAACUUCCUCACUAAUUGGUGUAGGCAUCACUGGAACUGAUUUUAGUGAUGAGCAACUUUCCAAUUCGAGAGAAGCUACAAUUACCUCAUUAAGUUCUACUUACCUCCCACUCACUUCUUUCGAGAGAAACUCCUUCUCUAAAAAGGAUCCACUCUUAGCAACAAAGAUUUUGCCUUCGGAUCUGUGAUAGAAGGUGUACCCAACAGUUUCUUUUGGGUAUCCUAUGAAGACACACUUCUCCGAUUUGGGUUUGAGCUUAUCAGGCUGAAACUUUUUCACAUAAGCAUCGCAACCCCAAACUUUAAGAAACGACAGCUUAGGUUUCUUGCUAAACCACAGUUCAUACGAUGUCGUCUCAACGGAUUUUUAGACGGUGCCCUAUUUAGCGUGAAUGCAGCUAUCUCUAAUGCAUAACCCUAAAACGAUAGUGGUAAAUCGGUAAGAGACAUCAUACACCAUAUCUAAUAAAGUACGGUUACGACGUUCGGACACACCAUUACGCUGUGGUGUUCCAGGUGGCGUGAGUUGCGAAACUAUUCCACAUUGUUUCAAAUGAAGGCCAAACUCGUAACUCAAAUAUUCGCCUCGCGAUCAGAUCGUAGAAACUUUAUUUUCUUGUUACGAUGAUUCUCAACUUCACUCUGAAAUUCUUUGAACUUUUCAAAUGCUUCAGACUUGUGUUUCAUUAAGUAGAUAUACCCAUAUCUGCUCAAAUCAUCUGUGAAGGUCAGAAAAUAACGAAACCCACCGCGAGCCUCAACACUCAUCGGACCGCAUACAUCGGUACGUAUUAUUUCCAAUAAGUCAGUGGCUCACUCCAUUGUUCCGGAGAAUGGAGUCUUAGUCAUCUUGUCCAUGAAGCAUGGUUCGCAAGCAUCAAGUGAUUCCAAGCCCACCAGCAUGGAGUUUCUUCAUGCGCUUUACAUCAAUAUGACCUAAAUGGCAGUGCCACAAAUAAGUUGCACUAUCAUUAUUAACCUUGCAUCUUUUGGCUUCAAUAUUAUGAAUAUGUGUAUCACCACAAUCGAGAUUCAAUAAACCAUUCACCUUGGAUGUAUGACCACAGAAGGUUUUAUUCAUAUAAACAGAAUAACAAUUAUUCUUUGACUUAAAUGAAUAAUCAUAUUGCAAUAAACAUGAUCCAAUCAUAUUAUGCUCAACGCAAACACCAAAUAACAUUUAUUUUAGGUUCAACACUAAUCCCGAAGGUAAAGGGAGUGUGCGAUGGUGAUCUUAUCAACCUUGGAAUCACUUCCAAGACACAUCGUCACCUUGCCCUCAACUAGUCUUUGUUCAUUUUAUAACUCCUGUUUCAAGUUACUAAUCAUAGCAACUGAACCAGUAUCAAAUACCCAGGGGCUACUAUGAAUACUAGUAAAGUACACAUCAAUAACAUGUAUAUCAUAUAUACUUUUGUUUACUUUGCCAUCCUUCUUAUCCGCCAAGUAUCUGUGGUAGUUCCGCUUCCAGUGACCAUUUCCUUUGCAGUAGAAGCACUCAGUUUCAGGCUUGGAUCUAGCUUUGGGCUUCUUCAUGGGAGUGGCAACUUGCUUGUCAUUCUUCUUGAAGUUCCCUUUCUUUCCCUUGCCCUUUUACUUGAAACUAGUGGUCUUGUCAACCAUCAACACUUGAUGCUUUCCUUAAUUUCUACCUUCGCCGAUUUCAGCAUCACGAAGAGCUCGGGGAAUCGUUUACGUCAUCCCUUGCAUAUUAUAGUUCUUCACGAAGUUCCAGUAACUUGGUGAUAGUGACUGAGAAAUCUGUCAAUCACUAUCUUAUCUGGAAGAUUAAAUCCCACUUGAUUCAAGCGAUUGUAGUACUCAGACAUUCUGAGCACAUGCUCACUGGUUAAGCUAUUCUCCUCCAUCUUGUAGGCAAAAAUACUUGUCAGAGGUCUCAUACCUCUCGACUCGGGCAUGAGUCUGAAAUACCAAUUUCAACUCUUGGAACAUCUCAUAUGCAGCAUGGCGUUUCAAAACAUUUUUGAAGUCCCGGUUCUAAGCCGUAAAGCAUGGUGUACUAAACUAUCAAGUAGUCAUCAUACCGAGCUUGUCAAAUGUUCAUAACGUCUGCAUUUGCUCCUGCAAUAGUUCAGUCACCUAGCGGUGCAUCAAGAACAUAAUUCUUCUGUGCAGCAAUGAGGAUGAUCCUCAGAUCACGGACCUAGUCCGCAUCAUUGCUACUAUCAACUUUCAACUUAGUUUUCUCUAGGAAUAUAUCAUAAAUAAAACGGGGAAGCUAUGCGCGUGCAAUUGAUCUACAACAUAGAUAUGCAAAUACUACCAGGACUAAGUUCAUGAUAAAUUUAAGUUCAAUUAAUCAUAUUACUUAAGAACUCCCACGUAGAUAGACAUCCCUCUAGUCAUCUAAAUGAUCACGUGAUCCAUAUCAACUAAACCAUGUCCGAUCAUCACAUGAGAUGGAGUAGCAUUCAAUGGUGAACAUCACUAUGUUGAUCAUAUCUACUAUAUGAUUCACGUUCGACCUUUCGGUCUCAGUGUUCCGAGGCCAUAUCUGCAUAUACUAGCCUCGUCAAGUUUAACCCGAGUAUUCUACAUGUGCAAAACUGGCUUGCACCCGUUGUAUGUGAACGUACAGCUUAUCACACCCGAUCAUCACGUGGUGUCUCAACACGAAGAACUGUCACAACGGUGCAUACUCAAGGAGAACACUUAUACCUUGAAAUUUUAGUAAGGGAUCAUAUCAUAAUGCUACCGUCGUACUAAGAAAAAUAAGAUGCAUAAAAGAUAAAUAUCACAUGCAAUCAUAAUAUGUGACAUGAUAUGGCCAUCAUCAUGUUGUGCCUUUGAUCUCCAUCUCCAAAGUACCGUCAUGAUCUCCAUUGUCACCGGCAUGACACCAUGAUCUCCUUCAUCUUGAUCUUUAUCAACGUGUCGUCAAAUGGUCGUCUCGCCAACUAUUGCUUUUGCAACUAUUGCUAUCGCAUAGCGAUAAAGUAAAGCAAUUAUAUGGCGCUUGCAUCUUAUGCAAUAAAGAGACAACCAUAAGGCUCCUGCCAGUUGCCGAUAACUUCUACAAAACAUGAUCAUCUCAUACAAUAAUUUAUAUAUCAUCACGUCUUGACCAUAUCACAUCACAACAAGCCCUGCAAAAACAAGUUAGACGUCCUCUACUUUGUUGUUGCAAGUUUUACGUGGCUGCUUUCUAGCAAGAACCGUUCUUACAUACGCAUCAAAACCACAAAGAUUUUUCAUCAAGUGUGCUGUUUUAACCCUCAACAAGGACCGGGCGUAGUCAAACUCGAUUCAACUAAAGUUGGAGAAACAGACACCCGCCAGCCACCAGUGUGCAAAGCACGUCGGUAGAACCAGUCUCAUGAACGUGGUCAUGUAAUGUCGGUCUGGGCCGCUUCAUCCAACAAUACCGCCGAACCAAAGUAAGACGUUGCUGGUAAGCAGUAUGACUAUUAUAAGCCACAACUCUUUGUGUUCUACUCGUGCAUAUAACAUCUACGCAUAGACCUGACUCGGAUGCCACAGUUGGGGAACGCAGUAUUUCAAAAAAAAUCCUACGAUCACACAAGAUCUAUCUAGGAGAUGCAUAGCAACGAGACGGGAGAGUGUGUCCACGUACCCUCGUAGACCGAAAGCGGAAGCGUUUAGUAAUGCGGUUGAUGUAGUCGAACGUCUUCACGAUCCAACCGAUCCAAGUACCGAACGUACGGCACCUCCGUGUUCAGCACACGUUCAGCACGAUGACGUCCCUCGAGCUCUUGAUCCAGUUGAGGACGAGGGAGAGUUCCGUCAGCACGACGGCGGCGACGGUGAUGAUGAAGUUACUGGCGCAGUGCUUCGCCUAAGCACUACGACGAUAUGACUGAGGUGUUAACUGUGGAGGGGGGGCACCGCACACGGCUAGGAACAAUUGAUGUGUGUUCUAGGGGUGCCCUGCCCACGUAUAUAAAGGAGGGAGAGGGAGCUUUCGUUAGUAUGAUGAAGACUCCGAAGGAAGGAUGGCCACUUCAUCAUGAUGACCUGGAGCAGAGAAAUGAGGACAUCACCAAAAGGGAUCAACUACUUCGGGAAGAGCAACAAAGACCGAGAAGAAUCGUUUGAAUUUCGUAACCAGAACUUUCCCCCUUACUCCCCUCUUAAAUCUCACGACGAAAUUUCUUGUAGUGGAGGAGUUUUGUAACGCCCGGGUAAUUAAGCUACAGUAAUCCCACAUUAACGGUGCCACGUUACCCCGGUUACUGUUGUUAAUAUCGCGUUGGAUCAAAACUUUUCAAAAAUUAAAUUCAAAAUAAUGUCAACAAUAAAAGUUUUUCAAAAAUUUAAAACAAAAAUGUUCGGGGUGUGCAAAUAAAUGCCUAGGAAUUUGGAUCUGGAUCGGGAAAAGGGGGCUCGGACCACGCCGCCGUAGCCUAGGACCACCUCGCCGGCGCCUCCUCUCCCCCGACGCCCACGACGCCGCGGCCACCGUCGCCUUCCUCUCCCUCGCGGGAUCUCCUCCUCAUCGGCGUCGCGUCACCGUCCUCUUCCUCAACCCCCACUGCCUAGACCCCACGGCCCCGUGGUGAGGCCCCGGCAUCUCCUCCCCCUCCCCUGCUCCGGCCACUUCGGCUAGGGCCUCGCUCACCGGCGCCGCACACGCGCGUGUGACCCUGGCCGCGCCCGCCCGCUUCCCCCGUGCGCGCUCGACGCGCUCCUGGCCGCGCCCUGAAUGCCCCCCGGCCGUACACGCCGCUCCCUCGACGCGCCCAGGCNNNNNNNNNNNNNNNNNNNNNNNNNNNNNNNNNNNNNNNNNNNNNNNNNNNNNNNNNNNNNNNNNNNNNNNNNNNNNNNNNNNNNNNNNNNNNNNNNNNNNNNNNNNNNNNNNNNNNNNNNNNNNNNNNNNNNNNNNNNNNNNNNNNNNNNNNNNNNNNNNNNNNNNNNNNNNNNNNNNNNNNNNNNNNNNNNNNNNNNNNNNNNNNNNNNNNNNNNNNNNNNNNNNNNNNNNNNNNNNNNNNNNNNNNNNNNNNNNNNNNNNNNNNNNNNNNNNNNNNNNNNNNNNNNNNNNNNNNNNNNNNNNNNNNNNNNNNNNNNNNNNNNNNNNNNNNNNNNNNNNNNNNNNNNNNNNNNNNNNNNNNNNNNNNNNNNNNNNNNNNNNNNNNNNNNNNNNNNNNNNNNNNNNNNNNNNNNNNNNNNNNNNNNNNNNNNNNNNNNNNNNNNNNNNNNNNNNNNNNNNNNNNNNNNNNNNNNAAAAAAAGGGAAUUAAAAAUAUAUAUAUCAAUUAAUUAAUUAACUAAAUAAUUAACUUAAUUAAUUCUGUUUAAAUUAACUAAUUAGAUAAUUAACCUAAUUAACUCUGUCUAAUUAAACUGCUGACUAAACAGUCAAUGACCAGUGGGACCCACACGUCAGCGACCCAGUCAACACCUCUGUUGACUGCUGGCGUCAUGCUGACAUCAUGAUGACGUCAGCAAACACUGUUCUGGAUAAUGUUGAAUUAAAAUAAUUAAAUUAAUCCUAAAAAUGAUUUAAAUCUUUUAAAAUUAAUAUAAAAUAAACCGUAGCUCGAAUGAAAAUACUUUCUACAUGAAAGUUGCUCAGAACGGCGUGACGAAUCCGGAUUUGCAGUCCGUUCGUCCGCCACACACCCCUAGCAUAUCGAACACGCAACUUUCCCCCUUCGGUUCAUCUGUCCGAAAACACGAAACACCGGGGAUACUUUCCCGGAUGUUUCCCCCCUUCGCCGGCAUCACCUCUUACCGCGUUAGGGCACACCUAACACCGUUGUUUCCUUUGUCAUGCAUCGUUAUGCAUCUGUUUGCAUUGUAUUCAUUGUUUCUUCCCCCUCUUCUCUCCGGUAGACUACGAGACCGACGCCACUGCUGGUGCCCCGGCUGACUACGGUGUUGACGACCCCUUCUUGCCAGAGCAACCAGGCAAGCCCCCCUCCUUGAUUACCAGAUAUCGCCUAUUCUCCUCUAUACUGCUUGCAUUAGAGUAGUGUAGCAUGUUACUGCUUUCCGUUUAUCCUAUCCUGAUGCAUAGCCUGUCCUUGCUACUACUGUUGUUACCUUUACCAGCAAUCCUAAAUGCUUAGUAUAGGAUGCUAGUAUUCCAUCAGUGGCCCUACAUUCUUGUCCGUCUGCCAUGCUAUACUAUCGGGCCGUGAUCACUCGGAAGGUGGUUACGGGUAUAUACUAUAUACUUUAUACAUGAUACAUGUGGUGACUAAAGUCGGGUCGGCUCGUGGAGCACCCGCGAGUGAAUCACGGAUUGGGGGCUGAAAGGACCUUUGUCCCAACGGCCCUCUGUGUGGAUCUUUGUGGCGGAGUGAUAGGGCAGAUUGAGACUACCUAGGUGAGAGGUGGGCCUGGCCCUGGUCGGCGUCCGCGGUUACUUCAAAAUAACACGCUUAACGAGUUCUUGGUAUUUGAUCUGAGUCUGGCCAUUUGGUCUAUACGCACUAACCAACUACGUGGGAAAGUUAUGGGCACUCGACGUCGUGGUAUCAGCCGAAGCCUUCGUGACGUCAGCGACUGAGCGGCGCGCGCCGGAUUGGACUGGAACGCCUGCUAGGCUAGGUCUGCUUCCGGCCGCGUACGCAACGUGCAGGUGUGCAAUGGGCGAUGGGCCCAGACCCCUGCGCCAUAGGAUUUAGACCUGCGUGCUGACCUCUCUGUUGUGCCGGCGGGGCUGCGACGUGUUGAUCUUCCGCGGCCGGGCAUGACCCAGAAAAGUGUGUCCGGCCAAAUGGGAUCGAGCGUGUUGGGUUAUGUGGUGCACCCCUGCAGGGAAGUUUAUCUAUUCGAAUAGCCAUGUCCCUCGGUAAAAGGACGACCCGGAGUUGUACCUUGACCUUAUGACAACUAGAACCGGAUACUUAAUAAAACACACUCUUCCAAGUGCCAGAUAUAACCCGAUGAUCGCUCUCUAACAGGGCAACAAGGAGAGGAUCGCCGGGUAGGAUUAUGCUAUGCGAUGCUACUUGGUGAACUUACCAUCUACUCUCUUCUACAUGCUGCAAGAUGGAGGUGGCCAGAAGCGUAGUCUUCGACAGGACUAGCUAUCCCCCUCUUAUUCUGGCAUUCUGCAGUUCAGUCCAUCGAUAUUGCCCCUUUGCACAGAUACCCAUGCAUAUGUAGUGUAGAUCCUUGCUUGCAAGUACUUUGGAUGAGUACUCAUGGUUGCUUUUCUCCCUCUUUUCCCCCUUUCCAUUCUACCUGGUUGUCGCAACCAGAUGCUGGAGCCCGGAAGCCAGACGCCACCGUCGACGACGACUCCUACUACACCGGAGGUGCUUACUACUACGUGCAGGCCACUGACGACGACCAGGAGUAGUUUAGGAGGAUCCCAGGCAGGAGGCCGGCGCCUCUUUCGAUCUGUAUCCCAGUUUGUGCUAUCCUUCUUAAGGCAACUUGUUUAACUUAUGUUUGUACUCAGAUAUUGUUGCUUCCGCUGACUCAUCUAUGAUCGAGCACUUCUAUUCGAGCCCUCGAGGCCCCUGGCUUGUAUUAUGAUGCUUGUAUGACUUAUUUUAUUUUUAGAGUUGUGUUGUGAUAUCUUCCCGUGAGUCCCUGAUCUUGAUCGUACACGUUUGCGUGUAUGAUUAGUGUACGAUUGAAUCGGGGGCGUCACAGAGGUAGCCUAGGGCGCGCCCAACUAGGAGGAAUCCUACUUGGGCCCCUAGUCCAAUCCCUCCUACCAUAUUUGGACAAGGGGGAAAGGAAGGAGGGGGAGGGGAAGGAAGUAGGAGUCCUACUUCAUACUUUCAUUUUCCUCCUCCCCUUUCCCUUUCUCCCCACGUGGCUGGCCCUAUAGGGGGCGCACCAGCCCCUUGUGGGCUGGUGUGUUCCCUUACUUGGCCCAUUAAGCCCAUAUCUUUGUCGGGGGUUACCCGGAACCCCUUCCGGUGACCCGGUAUCACCCAGAACACUUCCGGUGUCCAAAUACCAUCGUCCUAUAUAUGAAUCUCUACCUCUCGACCAUUUCGAGACUCCUUGUCAUGUCUGUGAUCUCAUCCGGGACUCCAAACAAACUUCGGUCAUCAAAUCACAUAACUCAUAAUACAAAUCGUCAUCGAACGUUAAGUGUGCGGACCCUACGGGUUCGAGAACUAUGUAGACAUGACCGAGACACAUCUCCGAUCAAUAACCAAUAGCGGAACCUAGAUGCUCAUAUUGGCUCCUACAUAUUCUACGAAGAUCUUUAUCGGUCAAACCACAUAACAACAUACGUUGUUCCCUUUGUUAUCGGUAUGUUACUUGCCCGAGAUUCGAUCGUCGGUAUCAUCAUACCUAGUUCAAUCUCGUUACCGGCAAGUCUCUUUACUCGUUGCGUAAUGCAUCAUCCCGUGACUAACUAAUUAGUCACAUUGCUUGCAAGGCUUAUAGUGGUGUGCAUUACCUAGAGGGCCCAGAGAUACCUCUCCGAUACACAGAGUGACAAAUCCUAAUCUCGAUCUAUGCCAACCCAACAAACACCUUUGGAGACAUCUGUAGAGCAUCUUUAUAAUCACCCAGUUACUUGUGAUGUUUGAUAGCACACAAGGUGUUCCUCCGGUAUUCGGGAGUUGCAUAAUCUCAUAGUCAAAGGAACAUGUAUAAGUCAUGAUGAAAGCAAUAGCAAUAAAACUAAACGAUCAUUAUGCUAAGCUAACGGAUGGGUACAUCACAUUAUUAUCUAAUGAUGUGAUCCCGAUUCAUCAAAUGACAACACAUGUCUAUGGUUAGGAAACAUAACCAUCUUUGAUUAACGAGCUAGUCAAGUAGACACAUACUAGGGACACUUUGUUUUGUCUAUGUAUUCACACAUGUACUAAGUUUCCGGUUAAUACAAUUCUAGCAUGAAUAAUAAACAUUUAUCAUGAUAUAAGGAAAUAUAAAUAACAACUUUAUUAUUGCCUCUAGGGCAUAUUUCUUUCAAUUUGCUACCGAUGUUCCAUGAUUUAUUCUCUAGAUAGCUUCAGUUGUUUCAAUUAAAUUUUGGAACGAUAACUUCCUAAGAAAACAAAGGCCGUACGAAUUGAGCAGUUCCGGCCGAUCUGUCGUCUUAAUGUAAGUUUCAAAAUUUUCACCAAGGUUGGGACUAAUAGGCUUACACAAAUUGCGCACUCUGUGGUGCAUUCGUCCCAAACUGCUUUCAUGCCGGAUAGAAACAUCCUAGAAGGGGUUGUGGUCCUACAUAAAACGCUCCAUGAAAUCCACACGAAAAAACUAGGCGGAGUUGUUUUCAAAGUGGAUUUUCAGAAAGCAUACGAUAAGGUCAAAUGGCCAUUUCUUCAAUAGGCCUUGCGUAUGAAAGGUUUUGAUCAGGCCUGGAGACACCAGGUAGACUCUUUCACGCAAAAAAAGGAGUGUUGGAAUUAUGAAUGAUUACAUAGGUCACUACUUCCAAACACACAAAGGUCUGAGGCAAGGAGAUCCGAUGUCACCUAUUCUGUUCAACAUAGUGGUCGAUAUGUUGACAAUUCUAAUAGGAAGGGCUAAGGAUGCUGGUCAGGUAGGUGGCCUCGUUCCGCACUUAGUUGACCGAGGUGUGUCUAUCCUACAGUAUGCUAAUGAUACUAUCAUCUUCAUGGAGCAUGACUUGGCAAAAGCGCGAAACAUGAAGCUGGUGUUAUGCUUAUUCAAACAAUUGACCGGGUUAAAGAUUAACUUCCACAAAAGUGAAUUGUUCUGUUUUGGAAAAGGUAAUGAUGACCAAGAUGCGUACAAACAAUUGUUCUGGUGCGAAUUGGGGGCUUUACCUUUCACGUAUUUAGGUAUACCAAUCCACCAUCAUAAGCUAACAAACAGAGAAUGGAAGUGCAUUGAGGAUCGAUUUGAGAAGAAACUAAGCUGCUGGAAGGGCAAGCUGAUGUCAUACGGAGGCCGAUUAAUUCUCAUUAAUUCGGUUCUCACGAGUAUGCCCAUGUUUCUCUUGUCCUUUUUCGAGGUACCAGUUGGACUUCGAAAAAGGCUUGACUUCUAUCGAUCACGUUUUUUCUGGCAAAGUGAUGAACUAAAACGAAAAUACAGACUCGCUAAAUGGGAUAUCAUUUGUAGGCCGAAAGACCAAGGGGCCUAGGUAUUGGAAAUCUUGAGGUAAAGAACAGAUGUCUUCUCAGCAAGUGGCUGUAUAAGCUAUCUGUAGAGACAGAGGCCACAUGGGCUCAGAUUUGCGUAAUAAGUACCUUCACUCUAAAACCUUGUCCCAGGUGACAGUGAGGCCGACUGAUUCGCCUUUUUGGAAAGGACUGAUGAGAGUUAAAUCACUCUUUUUCAACAGGACAAAGGUUAUAGUUGGAAACGGUAUCACUACGAGGUUCUGGGAGGAUACAUGCCUAGGGGAGACGCCCCUUGCACUCCAAUAUCCUUCUCUUUAUAGCAUUGUUCAGCGAAGAGACGCUUACGUUGCAACAGUGCUACAGUCCACUCCUCUCAAUAUUCAAUUUAGGAGGACGCUAGCGGAAACCGUUGGGAAGCAUGGCUCCAUCUUGUGAGAAGAUUGAUAAAAGUUCAACUGUCUCAACAGUCCAAUCAGUUGUGCUGGAAACUAACUAAGAAUGGAGAGUUUUCGGCUAAAUCCAUGUAUUUGGAUGUUAUCAACUCUAGUGCUAUUCCUUGUUCGAAACAUGUUUGAAAAGUAAAAGUACCUUUAAAAAUCAAAGUGUUUAUAUGGUUUAUGCAUAAACAAGUCAUUUUAACCAAGGAUAAUUUGGCAAAACGCAACUGGACAGGAUCUACGAGGUGUAGUUUUUGCGACCAUGAUGAAUCCAUCAAACACCUCUUUCUUGACUGCCCUUUGGCAAAAAAAAUUAUGGCGGAUGGUACACAUAGCAUUUAAUAUUACUCCGCCGAAUACUAUCAACACGUUAUUUGGGACGUGGCUAGACGGGAUAGAUUCCGAAACAGCGAGACACAAUCGUGUAGGAGUAUGUGCUUUAUUAUGGGCAGUCUGGAACUACAGAAAUGAUUUGGUCUUUAACAAAACAACAAAUAUUCAUUUUUUUGCAGGUUAUUUUCCGAGCCACUGCGUUGAUCCGUAUGUGGUCGCUACUCACUCCGACGGAGGCCAGGGAGCGUAUGGUUACUGGAUCUACCCGAUAGGAGAUGGUAGCACAGGAUAUUUUCAACCGGUUUGGAUGGCGUUCAUGUAAUAGGAUAGGCAAUUAGUGAUCCUAUCUUUUUAUGCCAGCCGAUUGUGGCUUUUAUAUUACUUUUUAGCUCUUUGUGAGCCUUUUUCGUUCUUUGAUCGAGACAUGAAGACUUGUGUUGAACCUUUUGGUUUUUAAUAAUCUUGGUCGUAUGCAUCGUAUACAUCUUUUAAUAAUCUUUUGUUCCCCUUCAUUUGGCUAUAGUCUGCUUGCAAUGAGUAAACACUGAACUUGUUUACGCCGUGAGUUUCAACUGUCUUCUUUCCUAACAAAAUUGCCCAGUAAGCGAAUCUGUUUGUACUAUAUGUAGAUAGAUGCAAUUGGAAGAACAGAGCACUGAAGGGGAAUGUCCACUGAUGUACCUUCAGUCCUGCAUGACCGGUGCCACUCCACGGCCUCAACAGUGAUUUGCCUCCAGGCGUUUAACGGGGCUGGAAGUCUAGAAAUGGUAUAUCAUGGCAUGAAGCUUAAUGGUCUCAAAAGACGUACGGGAGGCCUGAACAAUGUCUCAGUAGAUCCCCCUCCUCUGUGAAUCUGUGAUAGGCUCUAGUCUUUCUUACCAGUACCAGGUGCAGGACAAGUUCUAGGCUAUUCGACAUCUGCAAAAGCUUGGACAUGAAAGAGUUGAUGACGCCCCUGGAAUAUAUCUACUACAAGAUCUGAUCAGGAUCGUUCACAUAUUGUCAAGCAAUAACACACAACCAUGCACGCUGGGGCUCUCGAUAUUCAGAUUUCUGCCAUUUCUACACUUUGCAAGUAUGCAAGCAUGAGAAACACAUAUGUAUCUACUGUCGUUCAGAUGUACUAGUCGAAAUGCAGCUUAAUCUUCUUUGACGUCUACGGUGUUACUUUCUUUGGAACAACGUUCUCUCCAACUGAUCUUCCACAUCUGGAGCAAACUUACCCUGCUAAGGAUAUUCAAUCUGGUGAAUUUGUUGUCGACAGUACGUACCCUGCUAAGGACAUAGAAAAAAAAUAUUAGUCACACGGGUACAGAUAUGCAAGGCUUCAUACAUUACAUAUCCCAGGACUGUUCAAUCUGGUGAAGUUGUUGUCGACACUACGUACACAGGACGAAUGCGAACAUGGAUUCUUGGAAGAGAACCAGAGUUUGCAUAGAUAUAUAGAAGCAUAGCAUGAAAAGUUUGCUAAGAACUUUUUUUGAUAAAGGAUGGAUUUUAUUGACUCAAAAUGAAGCAUCAAGCGGAUACAAACAUAAUGCGUACACAUCCGGCCUCUGCAUAGAUAGGAUGCGCAUAACCAACACCAACACCAUCUCACACACACAAAACUAAAUUCUUCGGCAAAUAGUAAAGUCAUACAAGACCAAAGCUAUGCCCAGCGAGAAAAAAAAAAGACCCCAAAACGAUCAAAACCAUAAUCAACAAACUAUAGCAACAACCAUAUGCGCACCUGCAGCCAUAUCUUCACAACACAAGUACAAUGAGGUUCUUCAAUAGCAACGCCUUCAGGAAGGAAAAGACGAUCAAGCGUCACCGUUACCAGAUCCAAGCACCAAAGGCUAAGUUCUAGGUUUUCACCUUGAAGAAAAAGUUUGAGCAUAUCCGGGCAAUGCCUUCAACAAGAAAACGAUGUAAAACAAUCGUCAUUGCCAAGUAUAACCAACAUGGGUCAGGCCUAGGUUCUCACCUUGGAACUCAAGACCGAGUACUCAACAAGCACCAAUGCAUUGAAGUAAAUCAUGUAUUGUGCCACCACUUUUCCGCGAUCCCAACAGCUGCAUUCGCUGGGCUAGAAUCCCAUUGUCGCCGAGCAAGGUUCCGAUCAUGGAAAAAAAUACCAAUAAAUGCAGAUGUCUUGUUCUGAUAUCAUUCUAGUAAUAGAAGUGAACAAAAAAAUCCUCGCAGAGAGAGGAAGCAUCAAAAUUAUUGUCGCAUAUUUUAGCAACAACCUCAUAGUUCAAUUCUGACACGUUAUUUUGAGAGCUCAAUCCCGCCUAAGAUUCGAGUCUUUGGCAAAAAAACUCGCCUUUGAAGCACUAGGUAUGCAACAUAAUCGCUGGAGAAGGAACUUGGUGGCCUUGCCAAUCUGUAAUAUUUGUGGUUUAGAACAGGAGGACAGUGAUGAGACAUGCGAAAGCAAAAGCACUUCGACAUGAGAUGCAGAAGUUCUAGGAGCUGCCGGUUGAAUCCGAUUUAGUUCGCUCUGGUCUGGAUUGGGUCCUGGUAAUAUUGGAUAAAUGCAAUGAAGAUACGAGAGAAAAGUUAUUUUUCUUAUGGAUGAACCAGGAAAUCUGAAGCAGUUUAAAAUAAAGCCCGGUAAAGAAUUAAAUGAAAGAGGCCUAAGAGAUGGAAUGGUAAAAGCUAAAUGUGGAUGUGAUCGUGAAUAUAGGAAAGGGUACUGCAGCUCUGCGCUGUGCUCAGGGUGACAGUGGCAAGGUCUGGUGAUCGUGCUGGGGCCUAUUCGCUAUUGCACCAAUGUCCAUCACUAGAUUUAGUUUGAAUGAUGUUGUGUGGUGGGUAAUGUUUCACUCAGUCCCAACCUGCGUGUUGGAUCGGGUGAGACAAGAUUGUAAUGACUGCGUGUUCCAUUAAGAAAUAUACAUACAAUUUUGAUCAAAAAUAAAUAAAUAUACUUAAGCAUCAGCGGAAUGGUAAUAUUAUCCAUUAUAUCGUGCUAUUGCAAUGAUGACAACUGAAGAGUUGUCUUGUGUGUAUGCAUCUUGUUGUUUGUGCUGACAAAGGGAACAGUGUUCAUAAAGCGCAUGUUGCCCAUAGAAGAACAAAAUAAUGGAGCAAUUCAACAUCUAUCUGCCAUGGGUUGUUGAAAAACAAACAAUGGUAGUUGAACAGAGGAAGCGCACAUCAUUCUCAGUCAAGGGCUGGCUUUGGCAUUCUUUACACUACACCUCCGACCACCUCCGGUGUCAUUUCGCAAAUUCCGUGAAGCAAAAUUUGCUCGUUAUAUUGGUUUACUCUAAUAUCUUGGUAAUAAAAGGGUGUGGAUUAUCAACUGUUUCACCCACCCAACAAAGGGCCUCCAGUGAACUAACCUGUGGUUGAGAUGGUUAGGUGGACAGUGGUAUCCCCAACCCACCAGGGUUCAAAUUCUGGUGUUCGCAUUAUUCCUGGAUUUAUUUCAGGAUUUCCGGCGAUGCGCUUUCAGUGAGAGGAGACGUUCCCGUCGACGACGAGGCGCCUACGGUGACUUCUUAAAUCUCAAGAUGAUAUGCCGGCUCAGUCUCUCGGAAGUGCUCAUAGGGGUAGGUGUGCGUGUGUGUGUUCAUAGGGAUGAGUGUAUGCGCGUGUAUAUGAGCGCUUGUGUCCGUACUGAUGCUAAAAAAAAAAGGGCCUCCAUAUAUGCAUUGUGUCAUUGUGUGGCGGUCAAAAAAGCUCCACGGGUCAUUAUAUUGCCAUGAUUAUUUGCAUUACUAUCGCAUGGUGGAUCGCCAUGCUUAUGGUGUUGUGUGGAAUUGUAGUUUGUACUCGCUAGAAUCGCCCCUUCACGUCUGUCGAAAAGGAAACAUGGAACUCUGAAAUCUGGAUACAGAUCUCACAGUCCAUGGCAAUAGUUGCAUGACAAAAUAGGGGAAGUGGUUAUGUACCUGUAUCUCAAAUCGUUGACGCAAUAAUCCCUCUUGUGCAGCUAUUUCUCUGUGAAUUUGUUCAGUUGUGUUUUGCUCCAGUACUCUGAUUGCUAUUGUGGUGUUAGCUGUAGGAGGCACCCUUUCUUAGCUUUUCUUUAUUUUGCUCUAGAACCUUGCUCGUUACUGUUGAUGUUAAACAUGACAUGUUUGUAUUGCUAUUCCUAUCUUCCUUAGCCUUGUAUAGUUGACUCCUAGAGAUAUGGUAGGAUUAGUUUUAUUGUCACGCAAGACAUCCUGUGUAUAUGUUGUGACCGACUCCAUGGAAUACCAUUGAGUUGCACCGCAUAUUCUUUCUACGUGGUAUCAAUUUUACCGCGAUCUCCUCUCGCUUCCGCAACCCGCAGCCGCCGCACCCUCCCGUAGCCGCCGCUGCCGCCAACUCCAAACCCUAACGCCGCCACCGCCGCUACCUCUCCCGUAGCCGCCGCCGCCGCCUCCUCCUACCCAAAACCCUACGCCGCCGCUGCUCCCUUCUCCCCAAACCCUAGUGCCGCCGCCGCUGUUCUUCUACAGCCGUCACCACCCCUUCCCUCGGCCACCACCCAAACCCUAAGCCGCCGCCGCUACUCUCUUCCUCCUGUAGUCGCGUCCGCCCCCUUCCCAUCACCCGACGCCACCAUGUCCCGCUCCAAGGCCGACCCAUCCGACGCUGGUUCUUUCGUCGGUGCCAUGUUCAACUCUGACUGCCUGAACGAGCUUCACAUCAAAGACCACGUACCUGUCAUCCUCGACCUCAACUCGCCAUCCUACAACGCGUGGCGCACCUACUUCGCGAUGUUGUUCCGCUCUUACCGUCUCAUCGAGCAUGUUGACAGGAGCGUCGACUUCCGCGACAUGAAGGACGACGACGAGUGGCUUGCUGUGGACGCAUGCAUCGUCAAGUGGCUCCUCCUCACCAUCUCCGGCGGCCUCUUCAACAUGGUGAACUCCCGUGACCCGUCGGCGUACGCUAUGUGGACGCAGCUGUGUGACCUUUCCUCGACAAUCAACUCCAACACCACGUCUUCCUUCAAGGGGAGUUCUUCACUAUGCAACAAAAUGAUCUUUCGAUCGAUGAGUAUUGCACGCGGCUGAAGGUUCUCGCCGACGAGCUGCGCGACAUCGGCAUGACCAUCGACGACUCCGUCUCCUCACCAACCUCCUUUGCGGCCUCCACCCUGACCUUGGCCAGUCCGCCGCCAACCUCUCUCUCGUCACGUCGACGUACGUGAAGGCAGUCACGUACCUUCGCAUGGAGGAGAAGCGCCUCCAUCACUCCGCCCGGCAGGCGCCCCACGCCGCCCUUCACGUCGGCCUCGCCGCUGGCCACGGCACUCCUCCAGCCCCGCCAGCGCCGCGCGCGCCUGGUCCCACCCCGCCACCCACGCCCGCGCCCUCUCGUGGCCGCAAGCAGAAGGGCCGCGGGGGUCGGGGCCGCAACGCCAACACGGCGCAGCGACCUCCCGCGACCAACGCGGCUGCUCCCCCUUCGUCGUGGCUCUCCGGGUACAAUCCCUGGACGGGAGUCGUGCAUGCUUACUCCAUGCCCGUCCCCUGUCCCCCUGCUUCGGGCAUCCUCGGGCCACGGCCGAUCUCUCAUCCGGCACUGCUGACCGCACCGGCUCCCGCGGCAUACGUCAACGCCGCGGCCUACGGUGGCACCUCGGCUUACGGCGGUCCUCCGGGCUAUGGCGCAUAUGGUGGCGCCCCUCCAGUCUACGACCCGGCGCUCCUCUCCGCCCUUCAUGUUGCACCCUCGCCGAGCACCUACAACGGAGGCGGCGAUUGGUACAUGGACACCGGCGCCGCUGCUCACAUGGCCUCCAACCCCGGUAUCCUCUCCCGUGCCUCCCCCUAUCCCUUCAACUCUCGCAUCGUGGUUGGUGAUGGCUCCUCUCUUGCCAUCACUCAUCACGGUUCAUCCUCCCUUUUGUUUCCCUCUUCAUCUUUAACUCUAAAUAAUGUGCUUGUUUCACCAUCCUUAAUCAAAAACCUAUGCUCUGUUCGUACUCUUACUCGUGAAAAUCAUGUCACUGUUGAGUUUGACGCUCUUGGUUUCUCUGUCAAGGAUGCUCGCUCCCGGAGGGUUCUGCACCGAUGUGAUUCCCCCGACGAUCUCUACCCAUGUGGUCCUACGAUGAGUGGUAGUCCGGUUGCUCUUCAUGUCGAUGUCUCGCUUUGGCACGCUCGACUUGGUCAUCCCGGCGCCGACGCUCUUCACAAAAUUUUGAGCACCUUUUCCUUUUCAUGUAAUAAAUCGGCGGCUCAUACAUGUCAUGCUUGCCGCAUCCGAAAACACGUUCGCUUUCCGUUUCCUUCAUCUACAUCAAUAGCUACUUUUCCUUUUGAUGUUAUUCAUUGUGAUGUUUGGACAUCUCCAGUGCCUAGCAAUUCGGGCUUAUAUUAUCUUGUGAUUUUAGAUGAUUUUUCUCAUUUCACUCGGACUUUUCCGCUACACCGUAAAUCCGACGUCGCCUCCACCCUCCACUCCUUUUAUGCUUACGUCCACACCCACUUUCAUCACACCAUUGCUCACCUUCAAACGGAUAACAGAAAAGAAUUUGAUAAUCUCGCCAUUCGACAUCUUCUAUGCACCCACGGCACUGUUUUCCGCCUCACAUGUCCAUACACCUCCCAACAAAACGGUCGUGUCGAACGUGUCCUCCGCACCCUCAAUUAGAGUGUUCUUGCGUUACUCUUUCAUGCACACAUGACUGCCCGAUUCUGGUCAGAUGCUCUUGCUACUGUCAUGCUUCUCCUCAACAUCCGGCCUUGCAAACCCCGAUGGAGCUACACACCUCAUCAUCUCUUGUUCGGCUCUCCUACAUCCUAUGAUGACCUUCACAUCUUUGGUUGUUUAUGUUACCCCAACAUUACCGCCUCCGCUCCCCACAAACUUGCACCUCGGUCUCUUGCUUGUGUGUUUCUUGGCUAUCAACCCAACACCAAAGGCUUUCGUUGCUACGAUCCCGUCUCUCUUCGCGUAUUUGUCUCGCAACAUGUUUACGUUGAUGAGGUUGUCUUCCCUUUUGAGCGGGUUACUUCGGCAGCGGCGACCCCUUUGGAGACCGCCCCGUGACGGUCGCGUGGCGCCCUUGCCUACCCACGCCGCAGCUGCCUGCUGAUUCGGCGGCACGUCCGGGUCUCUCGCCGGCUACGGCGCACCUUGCCUCGACUCCGUCGGCUCAAGAGGAGCCGGUCUCGUCUCCGCUGGCUUCGGCACGAGCUCAUGCAGGACCAUCGGCGUCCUCAUCGCCAUCUCCUGUUCGGCCCUCGGCCGUCUCUUCGGCCACGGCGUUGCUCCCGGCUGCGUCUCCGGCGCCUUCUACGCCAGCUGCUGCCUCGCCUGCCGGCUCGUCGUCUCCACAUGCGGUCUCACCCGCUGGCCCAGCUUUGCCACCCGCGGCUUCGUCGCCACCGCCUUCCGGUGUCUCACCCGCGGUCGCCCCCGCGGCCUCACCCGCGGUCGCCCCCGCGGCCUCACCCGCGGUCUCGUCACCGCCGCCCUCUGUGGUGGUCGCCUCGUCGCCCGCGGACCCCUCUGCGGCUUCGUCUUCGACGUCGUCUGCACCCGCGGCUGUGGCUGCCGCUCCGCCUCGACAACGGCCUCACCUCCCGCCUCCGCCACCUCAUCACUCUAUGGUGACGCGUGCUAAGGACGGGAUUCACCAGCUGAACCCCCGCUACCACAACCUCAGUGUCACGGUCAUCUCUCUGAUACCGCGCUCGGUGCACUCUGCAUUGAGUGACCCGCACUGGCUCGCGGCCAUGCGCGCUGAGUAUGAUGCUCUCGNNNNNNNNNNNNNNNNNNNNNNNNNNNNNNNNNNNNNNNNNNNNNNNNNNNNNNNNNNNNNNNNNNNNNNNNNNNNNNNNNNNNNNNNNNNNNNNNNNNNNNNNNNNNNNNNNNNNNNNNNNNNNNNNNNNNNNNNNNNNNNNNNNNNNNNNNNNNNNNNNNNNNNNNNNNNNNNNNNNNNNNNNNNNNNNNNNNNNNNNNNNNNNNNNNNNNNNNNNNNNNNNNNNNNNNNNNNNNNNAUUUCGGCAUAAACUUCUACCGGAUGGCACUCUGGACAAGUACAAGGCUCGUUGGGUGGUUCGCGGAUUUGCACAACGUGCCGGCGUUGACUUCUUGGAGACAUUCUCCCCGGUUGUUAAACCCGCCACGAUUCGUGUCGCUCUUCAGCUCGCCGCCUCUCGACACUGGCCAGUUCAUCAGCUUGACAUCAACAACGCCUUUCUCUACGGUCACCUUCAGGAGCGUGUUCUUUGUCAGCAGCCAGCUGGUUUUGUUGAUCCCACUCGGCCUAAUGAUGUCUGCCUGCUCUCACGGUCUCUCUACGGUCUGAAGCAGGCGCCUCGUGCGUGGUAUCAACGCAUUGCAGCAUUCCUCACUGCUCUCGGUUUUCGCAGCACCACCUCCGACACAUCACUAUUUGUGCUUCAUCGAGCUGAUCAUGUCGCCAUGCUUCUUCUAUAUGUUGACGAUAUCUUCAUCACCGCCUCUCGUGCGGACUUACUUCGCGAGAUUAUUGGUCGUCUCGGUUCUGAGUUUCGGCUUAAGGACUUGGGCGCACUGCACUUCUUCCUCGGUAUCAAUGUGCGACGUGACUCUUCCGGAUUCUUUCUUCAUCAAGGACAGUAUGCUCUUAAUCUAUUGGAUCGUGCUGGCAAGACCGACAGCAAACCUGCUGCUACUCCUGCUGAGGCCAAGCCGAAGCUCUCUGCCACUGCUGGACAACUUGCCACUGACGCCGCUCUCUACCGCAGUAUUGUUGGUGCUCUUCAGUACCUCACGCUCACCAGACCAGACAUUCAGUUUGCCAUGCAGCAGGUUUGCCUGCAUAUGCACUCGCCUCGUGAUGUUCACUGGUCUUUGGUCAAGCGCAUUCUUCGGUACAUCUGCGGCAAACCGACCUUCGGUCUUCGUCUCCGUGCCUCCGCCUCCACCGAGCUGUUUGCUUACACUGAUGCGGAUUGGGCCGGUUGUCCUGACACUCGACGAUCUACGUCGGGAUAUUGUGUCUUCUCCGGCGACUCUCUCAUCUCAUGGUCCUCUAAACGGCAGCCCACCAUCUCCCGCUCGAGUGCUGAGGCCGAGUACCGUGCCGUUGCCAACGUUGUUGCCGAGACAUGUUGGCUACGUCAACUACUUGGCGAACUUCGGGUCUCGGUCCCGAAAGCUACGGUGCUUUUCUGUAAUAAUGUUUCGGCCACCUAUCUCGCGACCAAUCCGGUGCAGCAUAAGCCCACCAAGCACAUUGAACUUGAUGUUCAUUUUGUCCGCGAGAAGGUUCAGUUGGGUCAGCUCCGUGUUCUUCAUGUACCGACCACCCAACAGUUUGCCGACAUUAUGACCAAGGGGCUUCCAACCGCUGCAUUUCAGGAGUUCCGUUCCAGUCUUUGCAUCGCCUACACCAAUGCUUCGACUGCGGGGGGGAGUUGAACGUGACAUAUUUGUAUUGCUAUUCCUGUCGUCUCUAGCCUUGUAUAGUUGACUCCUAGAGAUAUAGUAGGAUUAGUUUCCUCGUCACGCAAGACAUCCUGUGUAUAUAUUGUGACCGACUCCAUAUAAUACAAUUGAGUUGCACCGCAUAUUCUUUCUACAGUUGAGAUAGCUGAACGCCGCCGUUUUUGGUCAUAUUAAACAAUACGAAAAGAUUAUACCGUGUGCAUUGUUGUUUGUUUAUUUUUGGUUGUGACAGACAUUCUUGUUGAGAGAUGUCACUGGUUUGCAUCUAGGCACAUACAACACCAGACCUGCGAAGCGACCAUGCAUCUGCGUCGUCGGUAUUGCUCCUGGUUGUUGUGCUUGGUUGUGCCACCACCGCUGGUUGUUGUGCCUGGUUGCUUUGUUGUCCAUCCUCUAUUUGUGUCGGUUGUUGCUGCCAUCGAGCUUGGCUACCUCUGAUCUUCUCAUGCUUCUGCUACUGCUUACUGCUCUGGUGCCUUUUCCACUACUGCAUAUUGUUGUGUCAGAUCAUCGUGGAUUGCACUUGCACGGUUGCACCUAAUGAACUGGACAAUACAAGGAGUAACUCGAUUGAGAGCUGACAACAACCAUGGUACGUGUUACAGCCCUGUAAACUGCCAAAAGCUCAUCUAAACAAAAUCUGAUGAAGGCCACAACCAUUAAUCUUCCUGGGAAAAUUUCAAGGUUCUCCAUGAGGAUAAAAAAUGAUGAAGCACGCUCCCCUUGAUGGGGUAUAUAGCAUGAUGAAUCGUGAGUGGUGAUGUGGAGUAUCCUCCGCAACAUAUUGUCAGCAGCAGCGAAAGCCAUGGUGAUUGGUCAGACUGUGAAAGCCUCCGCAACAUUCUAACUAUUGUGAACCUUGAUCCACCAAAAUGCAUGACCGCAAGGGAUUGUGCAAACAUAGGUUUAGAUGAGAGAACAACUUGGGAAACAGAUUGAUUGUUCUUGCCUGCACAAUUUCGUAAUGGACUUUUAGGAUACUUCAUGCUCAUGGACUUUUAGGAAUCUCAACAUAUAUCCCUCGGUUAUCUAUCAGAGAAACACAAGUGAAUGGCACAGUCGGCUAUCCCUCGUCGGUUCAGCAAUCACCGAGAGUAAAAUAUGAGGUAAAUGGUCUAAACAAAGCCCCUGGUUGAACUAAAUUGCAGUAAACAGUAACUAAAGCAAUAAGCCAAGUAAGCCAUUGGAUCUCGCCAUCACACGUGCACCGUUGGAUAACCUACUGCACCCAUCGUGAAUAAAGAGUAUGAAAAAAUUCGCCAAAACUUACUUCCUUAGAUUAAUUAGAAGUAGAAGCGAUUAUCUUCUAAACUAUCCUGCAUUUUACCCCAAAAUCUGACAAAUCCCUUGUCGGUUUUUCGAUGAGUUCCUUCCCAUUGUUCCGGUCCAAGCACCCCUCCCAUGCCUCUAUUGGCUCUUCUCCGAUGUUGGCUCAACAGGGGCAGGUCCAUCUAUUGCCUCAAAAAUUCAGUGAAGCAAAAUAUGCCUUUUCUAUUGGUUUACUCUAAUAUCUCAGAAACAAAGAUCAUGGAGUAUGGACCGUUUCACCCAGCCAACACAAUGUAUGCAUUGUGUGGUGGUGGCAAAACUGCCGCUUGCUUAUAAAUAGUGUCCAUUCCCCUGCUACAGAAGACCAUCGGUCAUCAUAUUGCCAUGGUCAUUUGCAUUACUAUGGCAUGGCAGAUCAUCAUGCUUAUUGUGUUACACAAAAAUGCCAUUUUUAUUGCUGGAAUCAGCCGUAUACCUCAAUCAAAAACAAUACAUGGGAACCUGAAAUCAGAAUCUAGAGUUCCCAAUUCAUGGCAACAAUUGCAUGACAAACCGGGGGAAAUCUGGGUCCAUAGCUCCCGCUUCUAUAUCGCUGUUAUGUGCCCCUUUAUCCCAAAUUGAUGAUGCACCCCUCCUUAUUCUGUGCUAAAAAUCUGAACCGUUUUUUCUUUUGAAAGAGUAAGAAACCUGAACUAUCCAUCACUUAGACAGGCAAGCAAAUAAAUUAUCGUGCACACACGGAAGAUGUCAAGCCCAUAUCAUGCAGCUUAAUGAACUCCGAAGAGCAGCAACAACUGAAGCAGAUGCAGUCUCUGAUUGGAGGUUCCUAAAAACUAACACAAAGAGUUAAUGAGGGCACUGAUAUACAUUUUUCCUCCCUGUACAAGAUUUGAUCAGGAACAACCACAUACGAACGUCGAUUAGCAGGCAAUAAUACACAACUGUGCAUGCAGGGGCUCCUGAUAUUCAGAUUGAUGUUAUUUUUACACUUUAGGAGUACAUAUGAAAAAAC